ACUUUCUCCUCUAUUGCCUCUGUCUCUGACUCUCUCUCCUCCUAUACAUCCUUCCUCGGACAAAUCAGGUGGCGGUGGUCACAACCACGGGCACGAUGACGAUCACAAUCACAACCACGGGCACGAUGACGAUCACAAUCACGAUCACGAUCAUGAUCACGAUCACGGGCACGGGCACGAUGACGAUCACGAUCACGGUCAUAAUCACGGGCACGAUCACGAUCACGGUCAUGGGCACGAUCACGGUCACGGGCACGAUCACGGUCACGGGCAUGAUCACGAUCACGAUCACGGUCACGGGCACGGGCACGGGCACGGGCACGGUCACAGGAAUGGAGAAAUGCAUAUUAAACGUAAAUGUUGCCGAUCGUUAAAAGGUGUUGACCCGUUCUGUGUUUGUGGAUUGCUGAUGCGCUUGCCACCUUUUCUUUCAAGACCUCUACACAAUUACACAAUCGUGGUUGAAGAUUCAUGUAAUGUGAUUUUCCAGUGCGGAUCGAGUUGGUUGAAGGUCUAAAUGUUAUCUGUUACUGUUAAAGAGUAACUUAUGAUACUAUGUUUUAAUAAAAGGUGUUUCACUUUGGUAAAUUGAGUACAUAUGUCUAUGAUGAAUCUUCUAUGACUAGGGGACUCUGUUAUGAAGAAUUUAUGAAUGAUUUAACUUAUAAAUAAAUAACAAUGAGUGAUAGAUAGGUGGAUAGUACUUGUGGGUUUAUUGAAAUAUAUAUUUGAAAAUAAAAUUUGACUGUUCAUAAAUAAUUAUAAAUUUUGCCAAAUGGAUUUAAAUGUUAAAUGAGCCACCAGCAGCAUAGUAAGCCCCUUUUUAAGGAGAAGUAUGGAAAUUCUUUGGACUGUAACAUUUGGCUGUAAGUCUUUUUAUUUUUGUGUAUAUUCAGUAUAGUCUCGUUUCUCUGAAAAACCAUUUUUCACUCAACUGGACCAUAAAAAUCUAUUCAACAAACUCAUGUUUGUUUAGAACAAGUAUCAACACUUUUCUUGGGAGACAUGCGGGCAAAAAAAGACAAAAAAAGAGAGAGAGAGAGAGGGAGGGAUGGGGUUCCUCUUGCUUUGGGUAUAGUGAAGCCUUUACUUCAUUUAGUCAAUGUUAUUGGUAACUCGUAUAGUUCUCAUCAGGUCACCAACUUUCUUGACCUUCUGACACUGAAAAGGCAUCGCCUAAAAUUGUAGAGAAAAUUAAAUGAAGUACUCCAAAAAGGAAUUUGGUAUGUUUUUUAAUGCUUCAUUUAAUGCCAUAUUAACGUCAUAUAAAUUGAGAUUACAACUUUAGUGGGGGUUAAAUAGCAUUAUUCUUUCUUUUUGUGUGUGUGUGUUUUGAAGGCGUUGCCAAUUAACUAUGAUCAAGAUCUAUAUUGAAAUAAAACUAUCUAGUACCAAUGUUGCUAGAACAUGACAAUUGAUAUAUUCAAUUAAAUGAAUUAUGUUACAUAGCAUUCAAGUAAACUUAUCAUUUAGUCAUGCUGUUGCCACCUAAAGUGAUAUUCGACAUCAAUGAUCUUGAAUAUCAUUAUUCUAUUUACUAUCUUCAGUGAAUUGGAAGGAUAUUAAUCGAUUCUCCUAGAUUUCAAGACUACAAACAUUCUUAAUACUAACGAUAAAAUAUUAAAAUAUCUCAUUUUCAAUUAUCAUUCUUAGGCUAGGGGAAUAAAAAUGUAGCAUUGAGUUUUCGGUUUUUUCAGAAUUUGAGAGAAAUCUUCAAAAAUUCAAGUUGAGUACAAAGUUUGAGAAUCUAAUCACAACAAAUUAAAGGUUGAAAACUUAAUCGCUUAUUGCUUUAUUUUACAUAAUAGUAGGGGUUUCUAAGGAGCAUCUGGGGUUCGAAUUCCCACAACAGUUAGAAAGCUAUAUUUAUGUUGGAAGAUAGAUGUUCUGUGGAGGCAAAGUUAUGGUACGAUUUGUCAUCUUUUCAGGAAUCUUGUCCGUAUGUUGUAAAGAGAGAUUCACAAAGAGGAGAAUCUCAUCUCGAAUGUUCGGUCUAAGUGUAUAUAAGUUGUGAUUGCAUCCGUAUUUACCCGAGUGGUGAACUAUAGUCGGAUGAAGCUCGAAUACUAAGUCACCAAAAAAAUUUAAAAAAAUGAAAAAUGUUAUACGACCACUUAUAGGGUCAAUUUCGGGAUAGUAGACAAAAUGAAAGCCCACGCUAUAAUACGACGUCGUCAACACUGUCAAAGUUGUAAAGUCUAACCUUGUACCAUGCCCUAAAACCCUCGUCUUCCAAGAGACCCAGCGGCUUUGUUACUUUGGACGAAGACGAAAGAACCCUAGCUUCUGGUUUGCAAUCUUCACAUUGCAAAUAUGAAACUCGUUAGGUUAGUUGAAUUCACUACAUUUGGUUGAUUGACUGGCCAUUUUAAUUCGUUUGUAGUAAGCUUAUUCUCUCUCUCUCUCUAAGCAGGUUUUUGAUGAAAUUGAACAAUGAGACAGUUUCGAUUGAGCUCAAGAACGGUACCGUUGUUCAUGGCACUAUUACAGGUCCCUCUCUAUUUUUAUCGCUGUUUAUGUGUGUUGGCUUUUCUUGUAGCUAUUUUGCUGUCUUAGAUUAUUGUAACUUAAUUGUCAACUGCAUUUAUCCGAAAAUGAGAGAAGUGGCUGUUUGGUUUGGUUGUCAUUUCUUAUAGAUAUAGUGGGAUGGAGUUUUUGAUUAUGGACAAAACAGUCAAAAUAAUCUGCUUUGACGUUAGAUCUAGAACUUUGGUUUGCAGUCUAGCUUUUGAGCUUUUGCAUUGUCUCCUAAAGUAAAAUUCUAGAACGAUUACAUGGGUCAUAGAACAACUAUGUGAAAGCAAGUCUGAUCCUGGGCGUCCAUGAGCAAAUGGUCGAUAUCUUAUUUUAAUACUGAACUUUUCUGGAUAAAAAAUUAAUAAAAGGAUUGGUGAGAAAAUACCAUUUUUCUUCUUUCCAAGCAUGGGUCUUGUCAUUAAUGUGGUUGAAUGUUAUAUCCCAAGAUUAUGUGCCUUCACCUUUUUUUUCCUCUGAUUUUCCACUUGCUUUACAAUAUUUUCUUUAUAAUUUAACUGAUGUGACAUAAUUUAUUGUACAUCAUUUGAUACAGUGGUUAUAAAAUAUACUUGCAUUAUGAUAUUUCCGCAAGCAAAUUUGUAAUAGAAGUUUGGCUUCAAAUCUGAAUGGUUUUCAGCGCUUGCACAUAAUGUGGUUAUACUAAAGCAAUAACAUCAUGUAUUCUGUAAUUUAACAUGCAAUACUAUGAUCUUUGAUCUGAAAUGAUCCAGAUAAUCGAAAGUACACAAAGAGACAAGAGUGUCAAGCAUUAUUAGUAGUUGGUGAAUUACAUGGCUUGUAGUGGGGCGAUCAAAACUCAUUUACUCAUUUACCUUCUCCAGAAGUAAUGAACUAUUUGAAAUUUAUUUUCUUUUUCUUCAUAGAUAAUCUUAUUUGUUCUCCUACAAACUUCUAAGAGGUGGAAUGAAUUUAUUACCUUAAAAUUUGACUCUGCAAUUGCAAGUGCUCACGCACAAUUAUUGGUGCCAUCGAUUUUAAAACUACUUGAAAGAAUGACAUUUACCAUGUUUUCCACAUCAACAUUUUGGGCAUAUUUUUAAUACAAAGGAUACAAGUGGUCAUAUGUCGUCCAAGAUUUGAGUUCAAUAUUUAGUAGAUCUGUCCUCUUUUCUGCUGAAAACAUUAAAGUACCUUUGAGUUGUUCAUUGUCAUGGUUAUUUUUCUCAGUUUCCGAUUUUAUAUGGUCCCACUAUGUACAAAACAUAUUCACUGUAUUCAAACUUUGGCUUUAAAGUCAGGUUGUCUUUGCUUAUUUAUUGCCACCAUCAGUUUCGCUAGCAUCCCUGAGAUUCUGAAUUAGUCCAAGUAUCCAAUACAUACCUUUUCAUUUCCACUCUGAACAAGAAAUUUUUUUCUUCUCUGCCCCUUAAUUGUAAGUUAACCAUGAAGAGCGAUAUGCUAAAUUGAUCCUUCAUCCCUGAACUCACUUGUUAAGGAAUUCACUAGUUAAAUUCUAAGAAUAACAGAUACAUGUGCAUUGCACAUUUUGUGAGAAAACACUGACACAACAAGUUAGGGACACAAUUUAAAUAUUUUUUAUCUUGUUAGUUUAUUUUAAUAUUGUAAAGAAAAUAGAAUAUUGUACUCCUGGUCCUCAAUUUGUAGUUGAAGUUGGGGUUAGAUGGUAAUUUGCAUAUUUAGAAAAAGGUCUGUUGCUUCAAGUGUUUUCGUGUUGGGCACUUUUGGGCCUAAGAUUUAUUGUUUGAGGCAUAAGUUACUUUUGGGCCUUAGUCUUCUUUUGUCAUCUCUUUGUUGUUUUUGUUGCUUCUUGUGCUCUCAUUAGAAGUUUUCUAACGUUUUAAUAAAUAAAAAUUGCCACCUUAGCGGUUUUGAUUAAAAUAAAAAGAAAAGAAAAUAGCUAAGCUUAAAAUGAAUCAACCAAAAUCUUGAGGGGUAACUUAGUGGUUAGGCCUUAAGUUUGCUCCCCAAUAAUCACCAGUUCAAGUCCCCUUAGAGUCACUGAGGUAAGUACCCGGCUAUAAAUUUUAGGGCUUCGUGGGAUUAGUCGAGGAGUGCGUAAACUGACCCAGACACCCAUGGUCAUCAAAAAAUAAAAAAUGAACCAACUAAUAUAGCAUUUUUCUUUCUCUUGCUUUAUUAGGGCAAGGGGCACAUGGAGGAAUUAAUAGGUAAAAUUUUCUGAUAUUUCAGUGAGUGCUUCCACUUGACAAUGGUAUUUUUGAAACUUGCUUGAACAUGAAUAACCCCCUUCAGUAUUCUAUGUGCACUCUUACGCAAACCAAUACGUCCGUUUGUACGUGAACAAAUUCUUGGUAUAGUUUUCGCCAUAUUUUAUCAUAUCAUAAAUAUGAGUCAGAUAUGACUGAUGUUAUGCAAAUUCAGAUUAUAUGAGAGUUCUUUUUAGUUGUUUCCAUUGUUCCUGAUUGGACUGCCAAACGCAGUACUCAUUAUAGGAGGGUAAAGCAUUCUUCAGUUUAUAUGAUAGUUUUGAAAUUGAUCAGUAAUCUCAUAUAUUAUAUUCUGGCAUUUAAUAUAUUUUUGUUGAUAUUUCUUAAUCGAUGCCUAAAUCAGAAUGAUAAUGUCCUGUAUUAAAACAAUUAUAACAAGGAGAAACAGAUAAAGUCUUAACCAGUUUUUGAGUGAAUGUUAUUAUUUAUAUCUGAAUGAGUGCAUCUGUUUUCAAGUCAGUAUCCCUAAAUGAGUCUUUUAGAACCUGCUGAAAUGACUCUAUUAUUGUUCUGGAGAUAUUUGCACUGUUUUGGAAGUGCUUUUAUUGAUAGAUAGAUUAUUUACCAUACACAUCUUCAUAUAUAAUUUAAAUGACAUAUUAAAUAAUUUUGGCAUAUUAAAAAUCCAAAUCAAAAUGUAGUGAUGCAGGCUAUUACUUCCUAGGUAGCUGUAUUGUCUUCAUUUUUUUAUGGGUUUUGAUUUCAUUUGACCUUAUAUUGGAUGUAGCAGAGGGCUAAACGAUGAAAUCAAAAAUUUCAUGUAGCUAACGCCGAGUUAAUGAAACUUUAUUUUUUUCCCCAUAAUGUUGAUAAUUAAUUCACAUUACUUCAAUUAUAUGCGCUUACACUCUCUUCUCUGAUUUUGGUUGGGUCACUUCUUUGACCUUUUUUAGCUGAAAUAAAAUUGAUAAAUUUAUUACAGGCCUUUUAAUUCGUAUUUUUUGAUUUAUCAUUCGUUCAAAAUAUAUAGCUGUUUUUUUUUUAACCAUUCUAGAUGAUCUUUUACUUGCUAUCUAAUCUAACUUAUUUUUCUCCUCCUACUCAAAGGACGUGCUUUGGGGCGUGGUCGGGGCCGCGGUCGUGGGCGUGGACGUGGUCGGGGCCGCUAGAUAUUCUCCAAUCACCUCAAUUUUCAAGAUAUCUUGUUAUGUAAACACCUGUAUUGAAGGGAGAGGCAUCGUUAUGCUCUUAGCAAGCUGAAACUGAAUUAGAGUAAGAUCUAGAACCCAUUUUGAGGUUUGGUUGAGUAUUUUCUACUGAUUUUAGCAGCAUUCUAUUUGAUUAGAUCUGAUUCUCGAUGAUAUCCCCCUUGAUCUCAUUGAACCUUCUUAACUUUUUCCUUAAUAUUCAAUAUUUUUCUAUUUCUACCCUACCCAAUAUACGCCAUAGUGUGCUAAAAACGAGACCUUGGGUACUUGUAUCUAAUUAACAUUAUGUACAGCAGGAGUAGCUAAUAUUUUCGUGGAUUUUUUCCCAUCCCUGCAUGGUUUUUAAUAGGGAUUGUAUCCUUGGAAAAAGUACUAAAAUCAACGCAGCCACGCAAAGGUCCUGUUUUCUGAUGCCGUUUGAUUUAUUUCUAGACGGAUUUAAAGCAACUAAUAUUGCAAUAUUACUUGUUAAAUUUUAACCACUUUUUUUUCUGAAACAAUUUAUUGUUCAAAGAUGUAAAUUUAAAAAUCCUGUUCAGACAUAAAGCAAACAAAUGAAUUUUUAGCUUAAUCUGUACGUUUUCUUAACCUCUAAGGCUCGAUUUCACAAAAUUUAUAGGGCUGGGCUGAGUUAUUUCUGUAUUUAUUGCACAGACAAAGGCCCCACUUCUUGCGCAAGCAAAUAACCUAAAACCCUCCCAUUAUAAAGGUAUAAAUCCUCAACAUUCCGCAAUCACAUUUCAAUAUAAAAUUCUCUAAUCCAAGAGAAUAAGAACAUUAGAAAUUAUGGCCAAGUCGAAUUCCUUGAAAUCUGCCGCGAUCGUGCUCGGAGGCUUGGCUUUCGGAUGGCUAGCCAUAGAGAUGGCUUUGAAGCCGUGGCUCGACAAGGCCCGAGCCGCCAUCAACAACUCUGAUCCAACUCACGAUCCAGAUGAUGAUGACGCCGCCGACAAGUCACCGCCCGAGGUCAGUGCCUCCGAUGUUAAGCAAAGUGAUUCACACGAGGCUUGAUGUAGCAAAUAACACUUUUUAUUUUUUCUAGAACAAUUUCAAAUCAAUUAUGCUCGUUAAACUUUGAAGUGGAUUUAUGAAAACAAAGUUUUAUGGUUAAUCCCAAAUAAUUACUGCUUCUUAGGUAUCAUAGUGAAGAUAAGAAUCCAACACUCCUUUUUCCAGCUAAUUAAUUUGUACAGAGAUGAUUAUGAUGAUUCGAAUAACUAUAUACUUUACUUCCCGUUCGUGGUUGUCAAAUGUGCCGUGUAAAACACUAUUUUUUAUUUUUAAAUGUACCAGUAGGCCCGUCAAGUGGAUUGUUUCAGGUAUUUUAGCACCCAAAUUGGGUUCGAGUAUUUCGUAAAUAGAAUCAUUUGUUUUGAAGUAAUUACUAAAAUCAAACUCGAAAUUGAAGUGUUGGUUUGAGUUUCGUUAAAAAAUCAUGAGUUGACAACACAAAUUAUUUUCUCAAUAUUUGGUAGAAAUAAAAGAAAUAAAAUGUCGUCAAAUACAUAUUUUAACACUUUCUUAAUCUCCUACAAAUAUAUCACCAAAUAGCAUCUAAUAUAUAUAGCACAUAGCAUCCAUUUUCGACUUUGACUCUGCUUACAGUGCCUCAAGAAGGAUUUGUGGAUGGAUAGUGCGUAAAGUACGAUUAGGAGUGACUAUAGAUGAAAAUUAUAUUAUUCAAUUAUUUGAAUGAAUAAAUCUGUUUUAUUAGGGUAAUUAUUAUUUAGGCUUGCGAUUUCAGUUCCUAAUUUAUUUUAUUUAAUUGAAUUCAAGCCUGUGAUUCCGAUUUGGUUUCGGUUAAGAAGGUUUGGUUUCAGUAAAAAUUCCCAACCUUAUAUAGAAAGGAUNNNNNNNNNNNNNNNNNNNNNNNNNNNNNNNNNNNNNNNNNNNNNNNNNNNNNNNNNNNNNNNNNNNNNNNNNNNNNNNNNNNNNNNNNNNNNNNNNNNNNNNNNNNNNNNNNNNNNNNNNNNNNNNNNNNNNNNNNNNNNNNNNNNNNNNNNNNNNNNNNNNNNNNNNNNNNNNNNNNNNNNNNNNNNNNNNNNNNNNNNNNNNNNNNNNNNNNNNNNNNNNNNNNNNNNNNNNNNNNNNNNNNNNNNNNNNNNNNNNNNNNNNNNNNNNNNNNNNNNNNNNNNNNNNNNNNNNNNNNNNNNNNNNNNNNNNNNNGAAUUCAAGCCUGUGAUUCCGAUUUGGUUUCGGUUAAGAAGGUUUGGUUUCAGUAAAAAUUCCCAACCUUAUAUAGAAAGGAUAAUUCAUCAUGGAGAUCAACAAAUAAUUGAAGUUUAUUGUAACGACAAAGAAUCAAAUAGUCGACUCACAAUAUAUCACAACAGGAAAGCCUUUGAUCACUAUGAUUUCUAGUUCUAUGUGUAAUUGGGUCAUUGCGUUACGGGGUAGAUGAAUAUAACUUGUUCAAUUAUAUCUAUAUCUCCACCUUUUAAUGCAUACAAUAUAGCAGCCUGAUAGGCAUAAAAUUGACCAAAAGGGUUAUGUACCCACAAAAGUCAAAAAUCCAUUGGAGCUAGUACAUAUUUUUAGGUGCAAGGCAGCUAUAUCGAAUUUGAGCUAUUGUACCCAAGUGAUUUUUUUUUUUUUUUUUUCAAAGUGAUGAAGGAACACGAGUUAAUGAAUCCAUUUUCUAUACUCUCGAGUUCCAUAUCAUAAAUGGGGGGAUAGAGUCGAAUGAGGAAAUUAAUUAAGUUCGACAAUAAUGAUAAUAUCUUUGUUGAAAAGAAAGAAAAACAAGUGAGGAAGAAAGGUGGAGAUGACCAUUUUGAUCAAUGGGGCAAUGUAAAAUGAACUUUUCGAAGCUUAUAGAAACCGUUGUCUUGGUACUACAAUGACGGUUGUUCCUAUAACAAUAUUUAACUAAGAUUGAGUUGAGACUUUGGGCUCGAGACAAUUCUACGAUGCAAUUUUGGACAAUAAAGCAUAUAAGUAAGUACAAGCUAGUGGACAAUAUAUAAAUGCUUUGUUUUUAGCGGAUAAUGUAAAUACAAGUACGUGGACAAGAUAUAUCUGUAGCUUUAUUUCAUUAGUACUUUCUUCUUCUCUUUCACCUUGAUACUACUUGAUUCUAAACCUUUCUUUGGGCUAUUUAUCAUUUUUGCAAGCCCGUGAUCGUGGGCAAUGUAUAAUUGCUUCUUCUUCUUUUUCUUUUUCUAUUUUUUCUUUGGAUAAAGUAAACUUAAAUAUAUGGACUGGACAUCUUUGUAACUGUAUUUCAUUAUUUGGUAUCCUUCUCUUUCACCCGUCAAAAAAUUAUUUCUUUGGGCUUAUUUAUCAUUUUUGCAAGCCAUUAUACAGCUUUUGAGGAAAGUUUCGAUGUAUUUUAUUUAUAUUUUCGACUGUUUUCCGUGGAACCCCAUUCAACAAAUUAACACCAAAAAAUUUCAACACGUAUCCAAUUUGUCCCCCAACAUUUUAAUAUUUAUUCUUGCUUUGUUGAAUCAGAUUGAGAAUUCUAACUUAAAUGGGCCUAAGCAAUUCAUUUAUUUCUUUACUUCCUGCAAGAAAUCGGAAAUAAAAAUAGAAAUCUUGAAAGAGGGGUUAUUUUCAUGCCAAAAAAUAAACAUAAUGAACCCAAUUUUAUGCACUUAAUUGACGGGGACGCUACCCUUUACUAUGAACUAUGACGUAAGCUCAACCACUUGUAUAUCUUUUUUGCUAAUUCAUCGAUCCAUAAUUAUAUUUUUUAUAUUUAUUUAAGAUCCAUUAGAAAGCUUAACCAAACAAUACGCAAACUAUGCAACUUUCCUCCUUUGCUCAGACUUGAAAACAGCUGUGGCCUAAGUUCAACAUAAUGAUAACCCCAAUAUAAUCAUGGAAUGAUAAGAUUAUUUUCGAGUGACUUUUUCCAACCCUUUUUCAAAAACAUCAACAGCAACAUGCAAUGAACUCAUGCAAUCUGAAAGAAUUCAAAAUACGCCAAUGACUCGGGAUUGCAUUUUUGCUAAAAUCCAAAAUCCUUAUUCGCAUUAUGCAUUUGUAGCUAAGAACUACUACAAAUUUCAGAAAAAGAGUACCAGAAAUGAAAGUGUGCAUUGAAUAGAAUCAAAGGAUUACUCUACAAGAUGUUAAACUUCCAACAGUCAGCAUCAUCACUCCUCAGCAGGCGUCCUUCUGGAAGCCAGGCCCUUGAUUGUGUGUCGACAUUGAAACCUGCAACGGUAUCAAAGUUCGGGUGGUAAACAGGACCAUUUAGUUUAAAGAAUUCCAUUUUUAGUUACAAGACUUACAGCCAGUUCAUUUCCCAUCCCACCCCUCACCAGAACCAGGCAACAUUUACCUCCUUUCCUAUUUCAUUUGCAUUUACUAGAUUAAGAGGAAGGAAGACACAGAAAAGUGAGGAGAAACGAAGCAAAUAAAAGGAGUCACCCGUUGGAUUACAUACUGCAAGAGUCGAAACAAGGCAAAUGCAUUUAAAGAACUGAACUCUAAAGGGGAGUAACUAAAAACUAGAAUUCAGGAUUUCUGUGUAAAGAAUAAAGGGAGAAAGUUGAUGACACAAGAACUUGAAUGCAACUAAAGUUAGUUCUCAAUUGAUGUAGAAUCCAAGAUGUGUAUAAGAGACAACGAUUCAGUAUUUAGAACAUUCAAUACCAGAUCAAAUCAGUGGAUGGAGAAUCCAAAAAACCAGCAGAUGUAGCAGUUUGACAAUCAUUUGGAUCAGCAUCCAUUUCCAGAUUUUGAGUUCUGCGCUUAAACCGUAAUCUAAAGGGCACUAUCUGCAACAAAAAGUGAAGAAAAUGAAAUCCUGUGAGAUUUAGAAAGGGAUGUACAACUAUGAUCUCACAACUCCAUUUAGGAAUAUAAAGAGAUGCAAUAAAUUUUGAAAAAUGUCAAUGUAGAUGCCAAGGGAUAGGUCAGCUCAAGAAGAUCCUCUGACCAAUGUAUUACACCUUAGCAUACCCUAGGACAUGAAAUAGUUAUUUGUCUAAGCAAUAGCCCAGAAUGUUCUCAAAAGCGAGCAAUAGCGACAAAACAAAGUAAUUUAAGAUAAAAAAUCCACAUUGACUCAAAUGAUGUAUAUCAGUAAAUCUAUGAAUGAAUAACAAAAUGAAUAACCAAAUGAAANNNNNNNNNNNNNNNNNNNNNNNNNNNNNNNNNNNNNNNNNNNNNNNNNNNNNNNNNNNNNNNNNNNNNNNNNNNNNNNNNNNNNNNNNNNNNNNNNNNNUAUAAAUGCUUUUAUAAAUCAAAAUUAGCAAAUUAUAGUAUGUCAAACAAUGAAGUUAAUUUAAUUAUUCAAGGUCAUCUUUGAGAGUGAUUUUUUUCCCAAAAAAAUUGAUUUUUUGACCGUUAUUUCACUAUUUCAGUCGUCAUAUUUGACUUCUUCACUCACAUGUGGACCCUACUUUUCUUUUAACGAUCAAAAAAUCAAUUCUCAAAAUCACUCUCAAACAUGCUCCAAAUGUGAGAAAAUAGUAACUCUAACUCGUUCGGCUUUUGCCCGAGGCAGAGAGCCCCACACUCUCUUCAAUAGUUCCAGUAAUACAAAAGCUCGACUAUAACAUCUAUUUAAAAAAUGGAAGUGCUACAUUUAUAUAAUUGUUUACAUAAUGGUGUCCAUAAUUACACGUGGUACUUGAUCCAACAUUUAAUUCAAAUCUCACAUUUGCAUAUCAACAAUCGAAUGAUUGCCACAUCACAUUAUGGACACCAUUAUGUGCAAUAAUUAUGUACAAGUAGAAUUUUCCUUUAAAAAAAGAUGCUUAAAAUAAAUUAGAUUGUUAGUAAAAUCAAGUUUACCGGAUAAAUCCUCUAAAACUACCACUAUCGAUAUAUUAAACACUGCUUUCGAGCUUAAGAGGAACUUAUCUUAUAUGAACGCACAUGUCAACUAUUCAAUCUUCGAAUUCAAUGUUUCUUAUUUUUUACAAAUAGCAAGCCCUUGAUGGCUUGUUUAUAUAUAUGUCAAAUCUUGAGAUAGUUUGAAGAGUUCGUUUUUGUAUAAUUUUUGAAAAGUCAAAAGUUACUUAUAAAAUUAAAAAAUUGCAUUUGAAUUAAUUGAAUAAUUUUCUGAAAAUAUUUUAUACGAUUAAAUGAAUUUAUAAAGGAAAUUGGUGUAACAAAGCUUCUUAUGAAACUUUCCCAUAAGAAUCAAAAGUUCUAUCGAAAGUGUCGAAACAUUACUAUCUAAUCCUAACAUUAUUAAAAAAUAGAAUUAUGUACAUAAUUAUUAAUGAUUUCGACUUGAGUUAAAAUUUACAUCAAUAAAAUAGAUCUCUUGUCUUCAGUGAACAAGAAAAAAAUUAAUCAUUGUUGAUGUGACAAGAGAAUCGUACCUUGACACUGGGGAAGGGGAUUGUGCCUAUCUAUACCAAACACGUUGCAACGGGAUAGGCCUAACUAACAAAAUUUUUAUUUUUUUAGUAUUUAUUUAUCGUUCUUUCAGAUAUUAUUUGCUUUAUUCAUUCUGUAUCAACAUAAACCGACCGUUCGAUGUGAUGUCAAAUCACAGUCAAUUCAAAGUCCAGAAUCUAUACGUGGAGCAACAAAGAAUCGUACAUCCCAGAUAUUUUAGUGUUGCGAGUCAUUCAUUUCCCCAAAAUUAGCCACGUAUUCCUCCCCGAUAUUUUUAGCAUGAUAGAGAUUUUUUCCUAUCAACCACGUGGCAUCAUCUCCACUACAGUCCGCACGGUUACGUUUCUCUUCGAUUCUUCGCUCAACCAAUCUUCAGUGGCAACGAUAGUCUUAUUGAAUAAAUCUUUGACGCGUGUCUCACAUGCUGAGGACUAAUGAUUUCUAGGUAGUUAUUAUUUAAUUCUUUGCCACGUGUCCCUCUGUUCGUUACAUGCAUAUAUAUAUGCGUUUGCAGAGGAUAAUUCCUCCCAUCGUCGUAGUAAGAAUGAGCGAGUCUCCGAGUCAGAGACGGAGGGUUCACCAGGCUACUGAGUCUUCCCAGUCCGGGAUUUUCAAUGAGCGUAUUCUCGUCCUUGUCUUCGAGUCUUUAAAAUGGGAUAUUCGAGAUCUUUGCGCGACUGCGUCUGUUAACCAUAAACUUCGCGCCGUCUCGAAACGACUUCUCUGGAGGGAGCUAUGCGUGUAUCGCGCACCUCGAAUGAUAGCUACAUUGAUGGAUGGUGUGCCUAACAGCCGAAUUUGCGGCGGAUGGCAGUCGAUGGCGAAAUUACUAUUUUUCUGUUGCGGAUGUGAGUCGACUCGGUGUAUUAGACUGAGUCAACCCUUGCACGGUCAUUUCAUGAAGGAGUCCCGGUUUUCGAAGACUUCGGGUCAGAGCUUUUUGACGAAGAAAUGCAGAGGAGAUGUGCUAUAUUUGAGCGACCCGUGUGAGCAUCCAGCAAGGGGCAAAGAGUACGAUUUAGGUAUUUAUAGAGGGGUAUUUCGGGAAUUUAAGAAGUCGAGGACCCGGGAGUGUUUGAUAAACCGCCGGGUGGAGUUUGAGGAGAAAAUCCGAUGUCCUUAUUGUGGGACUCGGGUCUGGAGUAUGACAGCAGCUCGGCUUGUUCCCAAGAAGAGUGCGGCUAGGAGACUCGGCUCGCACGAUGAGGGAUUAGAGUAUUUCGUGUGCCUGAAUGGGCACUUGCACGGGACAUGUUUGCUGGUGCCACUAUCUUCCGAUGAAGAUGAAGCUGCUGAUGAUGAGAGUGGUGAUGAUUUGGACGGUCAGUAGACCGUAAUGUAUCUAUAUGUCAUCGGAAUUGGCUGGCUUAGGAAUUUACAGAUUUUUUUCUUGUACGGUGAGUGAUUCCACGUAUUGAUUUGGAGUCAUUUUCCUGUUGUAAAUUUGAUGCACCAUUGUGUCUGUAUAUUUUUUGCAUUGAUGGAGAUUAGUCACAUUUAGUGUAAGAUAAUGUUAUUAGUUUAUUACUUUUAAUUCAUUAAUGGAGACUUAGUCACAAAUUCAAGUAGACCCAUUUAACCGGAGUGUAUAUACUUGCGCUCCUAUUCUCUUGUUUACAAUGGAAAGUUUUAUUUUGUCCACCUCAAAGAAAACCCUUAUUUCAAGUCUCACGCCUGCCACAUCAACAGGUAAGCAAUCUUAUCGUGCCCACCGUGGGCAAGAAAACAAUUUCUUAUAAAGGAUGGACAAGAUUUUAAACUACUGUUUUCUUAAAACUGUCCAUCAAACCUAAUAUGGAUUUAUUAACUUAUUUCUCUUCAUUUCCAACAAAAUCUGGGUGGUUGUUAACUAUAUAUACACACUACCUAAAGAAUUUCCAAAUCACGAAAGAGGCCCUGAAUCCAAACACCAACACUUGUAAUUUGAUUUGGAGAUAUUGAAAAGUUCAUCUGGUGUCAUAUUCUCAAGUUCUUUGGGCUUCCAAGAAUCAAAAGUGUUGGUAGAUGCAUUAUGAGCAGCCAAUAACAUCCCCAUAUCUUUUCUUGGGUGACAUUGUGACCGCAUUUUCUUGUACAACCUCAUUGCUGAUACACAAUCUUCGUAAGGAUCAUGCAACCCCGACUGGAUAUCGUACCUAUUAAACCAAAGCCCAUGUCAUCAACCAAACUUACAAUAUUCAUGAUCAAAACAUUUAAAGGAAUUGCAAAUCGACUAGAAUAGUUACCCUACUAAACUAUUUUAGCAGUAUAUGGAGAUUGCACUUAAAGAUGAAAACCAUUUUUCCUAUUUGACCACAAAACUGUUGGGCCAUUUUACUGAAAUCUCAAUUCAGAUCAAUGAUCAUGAGAAACAGACUGUCAAUUUUCAGAAAAGUUCACUGUAAAAAUAUUGCUUGUCUGAAGCUGCCAUUCUUGCAGUUACACAGAGAACAUUAUUAACUUCAAUAUAUUUUUCACUUGGUCUAGAGUUCAUGACAAAAAAAUUGGAGAUUAUGGAUUAGUAACUGAAAGGAAGCCAAAGAAAAAUCGAGGACUAUUCAGAGGGAAUGACAGAUACUUAUGAAUAGCAACUAAUAGGAAGCCCACGAAAACCGGGGACUAUUCAGAGGGAAUGCCAAAAAUCCCUUGUAAAUGUCCACGCCCACCCCUAAGAGUCGUUCAGGUUGUUUUUAUAUACUUGGUCUCUGGUACUUCCAUUUAGCUCCAAAGCUCUUCUAUUCCUUUGGUAAAUUGUAUCUUAAAUUAGCAAAAAAGGAACCCAAGAAUAAUCACUGGAUGGCAACUUACCCGAGAUAGGUCUUGGUGAGGUACUUGAGCGAGUGGCUGACGAGGUUUGUCUUCAUUAAGGGAGGGUAUUUUGCUGUAUCCCUGCACAUAAAGAGGGUGAAAAAUUAAGCGCAACGCAGUACGCAGCAAAACAAUUUCAUCUACAUCUUUCUUAUUUCAUUACUCUUGAUUAUAGAAGCUAAAAUUCAAGGACAAUCAGUAUACAAUGACCAGCUCGUAGAUACACUAGGUAGAAAUGGAAGUUCAUAUUACAAUCCACUGGCGAGAACUCAGUCAAGUUAAUUCAAGAAAAUAUGAAAUCAUUAAAAUUUAUAAACCAAUAAGUUAGCCUUUUAAGAUCGAUCCUCCCCAUUUUCUGGUGCUCAUUUCCUCCCUUUUUUUGGAGAUGGGACAAAGGAAAGGGAGUAGGAUUUGGAAUUAAAGAACAUAAAUCACCAUAAACCAAAAUAUAAUGAGCUCUGUGUAUUGUCCACGAGCCUCCACACAAGAAGUCCAUUCUCAUUGAAGACAAUAAAUCAAUUUCUUCGAACAGGUUGUUGGAUGCAAUGUAAUCUCAUGAAAAUGGAUUUGUAACCUUAAUUGCCCCAAAAUGACUUCACCUCAGGAGAUGAUCAGGAUAAUUCAUUCUCAAGCAAUUUAAAUCGUGCCCAAGGGAAUGACCCACAAGAACUCUAGCUUUGCCACCAUGUAACCGUAAUCUUCCAAUCGACUCUCCAUUGUAGAGAAUCUGCAAAAUUUUAUCUUGCACUUCCUUGAGUGGCAUAGCAUCUCUCAUAUUCUCCUCAGUAAUACCAGUAACUUCGUUCCUAAAACAAUAAUAUACAUAGAAUUAUAACUGAUGAGCAUGCCUAUUAACCUAAUUAAAAACUUAAAGAAUAAAUAGAUCAUAUGCAUAACCCAGAUACCUAAAAUUGGUAACAGGAAUUAGCGGUACUACAUAAGUAUGGAAAAUCGGUUUUUCCUCUUCAUCAACAAGGCACACCCUAGCACAUAUAUCCAGUGACCCAUCACUUCCUCCACCAACCAUUUCGCAAUCCAUAGCGAUUGCUUCAGGAAUCCUCCCACUGUCAUUAGUAUCAAUUUGAGAUUCAGUCCAAUGCAUCUUCACAAAAUCCUGUAUAAUAAAACAAAAUUUUUGACGUUCACAUGCUUGUAACAUUCAAAGUCCAUUUUCCAACAACCAUAAUAUUUCCUGAAAAAAAAAAAAGCUUAUGAAUCUAUCAAUUUGUGUUUAAGGUAAAAGGAGGGAAAGUUUCCCAGGUCAACUCACAAUGGGGAAAGGAGCAGGUAGGCAACAGAUUUCCAGGUGUUCACAGAGAGAAACUGGACUGUCGAAAAUUCUCAUACAGAGGCUGCAACCUCUUUCAGAGGAUAUCUUUGAACAAUUCCCUUUAGCCAGUGAACCUAAAGGUUUGAAAAAAUGAUUAUACGUAUGAGCACCUGAGUCAACCUUUGACAUAUAAAUUUUCCAAACUGUAGUAUCGUAUAUCACCAGUCGAGUGCUCCCUUAGUGAUGCAAAGGAUUUGCAAUGCUUUUGACACACACCACAUUGAGGCUGGUGAACUGAGUGAUACGAGAUUUUCAUAUGUGCAACAAGAUGCUCCUUUUUCUUAUACUGCUUGAAACAUGCUGCACACUUAUGCCUGGAAUCAAUCACAAAUUACACACAACUUCCAGUAAUUCAGGGGGAUUAUUCAAAUAUUAGAAUAUGAUAAAGUUAAGCCGUCAGUAUGGGUUGAUUUUGUAAUGCACAGUGUCAACUUAUGCCAACCAAUAUAUUAUAAAGUAAACAGUAAGUGACGAAUUACUGUGGAAUGAAGAUAGCCGGUCAGCAUAAUGUCACAAAGCUUAAAUUGAUCAUAAACAGAGAGUUCACAAGAACCUAGUGCAGUACAUUUUGUCUAUGAGAGAGAUGGAUAGACAAAGUUUCUGAUUCCUUAUGAUAUAAUUAGAGUAUCACCUAUAUGAUAAGGCAUCAAAGGGAUUGUUGCAUUUUAAACUCAAGGAAAACAUUUUCUAAGAAGCCUUCCAAAAAUCUCUACAAGUUUGACUACACCCGGCUCUCAAAAUAAGCAAAAGGAGAUAAAAACGUAUGGAAUCUCUCAAUCUGUCCACUGUUAAACCUCUUAUAUUUCUCACCUUCUAAACCUUCCUACACGAGAUCCUUUUCAGGUUGUUGUAUCUUAGCAACCUAACAGACAACACGUGCAAAAGAUGCAGCUGGAAUAUGCGAGCGGGAACUUCAGUUAGUCAGUUAGAAAAAUUGGAGUUAGUUUGAUCUAGUCCACGUGUCCAUUGCAUCAUUGGAGUUAGUUUGAUCUAGUCCACGUGUCCAUUGCAUCAUUGGAGUUAGUUUGAUCUAGUCCACGUGUCCAUUGCAUCAUUGGAGUUAGUUUGAUCUAGUCCACGUGUCCAUUGCAUCAUUGGAGUUAGUUUGAUCUAGUCCACGUGUCCAUUGUAUCCACUUUGGACAGCUAGAAUCAGUUCGAUUUUGUCGAAGUCAAAAACUAAUUUGAUCUUCAGCUACUUCUAUAAUGGCAAGUUAAAAGAAUACCAAGUAUUGCAAACACGAGCAAAUGAAAAUCAACAAUCUGAUUGUAUUAAUUAUAAUGAACACCUCGCAAAACAGUAACAACGACAAAUAAAACCAGCCAAGUAAUCCAAAAACAUUAACGAAGAACAAAUGCAUUGCCCACAAAUAAAACGAAUCACUAACACGGGGUAUCUUUAUAUUCUUAGUUCGAACUUAAAAAUCGUUAUAUUCUUAGUUCUAACUGUUUUAAGUUCGUAAGAAAAACGAAUUUCUAAGUAAUAAGAAUGAUUUUCCCAGCAACAUAACAAAGGGUUCUCAUAAUUCACUUGAGAGAAAUGGAAAAGUUGCCUUGCUGUUGUUGUUGUUAUUGCGGGUUUCGCAGAAUUUUCACUGGAUUCCAUGGUGUUCUGAGCUGAAAUUAUUCGUAGACAAAGAACUAGAAGAUUAUUGAAACGUUGAAAUAAUGCUAGACGGAUUUGGGGUAGGGCUAGGGUUUCUAGAAUUAUUGUUCAGGAAAAUUGAUAGAGCACUCAAACCGUUAAUGAGUUCACGUGAACUUCAUCCCUUUUUUUUUCUUUUCUUUUUUUUUUAAUAACGGAAAACCGCGGACAAGUAUCUCUGUUCUAUAUAAAUUGUCCAAUUUAGGUGAACGUUUGUAUUCUUGUGUCUAUGAGGUUAUAAGUUUGUGGCAUCUUAUAUUCGACGAUGAACUGUGUGAUUAAAAAGGGAUAUGUUCGUGAGAUGUCAUAUAUUAUCCCGUGAAAUAUAUUUUGAGGGAUAUAUACUUUUCGAUAAAAGAUUAAAGAAUGAGAAAAGGAGAAACAAACCGAACAAGGCAACAAUUGGUGGCUGGGGGAUUUAGGGGUGUUGGUAAUAUUGUUGAAGAGAAAUUUGUAAAUAGAUCUUCUAUUUUCAAGUACUUAGAAUAUUUAUACUCAAUUAAAUAAAAUUAUUAAAGAUCAAAUCAAUGACACAAGGUUUUGUUUCUUUUAUUGUCGUAACCAUAAGUUAGAAUUUUAAAUAUUUUAGUUGUGUAAUUGUUUAAUAGUAAAAGCAAAGAUUUCUUCUACUAAUUAUGAGCUUUAAUUUAAGUUAUUUCAUUAUAAUGUGUAAAAUGUACAAAACAAUUUACGUAUAUUAUCAAUUUGGUCAAUAAAAUCUUACUAAACAACAGAAAAAAUAACUCGGUAGGGAAGUUUAACUUUUCAUUUAAAAAAAAAAAAAAAAAAUGAAAAAAUGUAAAGGUACGAGAUCCAUUUACACGUUUUCCAAANNNNNNNNNNNNNNNNNNNNNNNNNNNNNNNNNNNNNNNNNNNNNNNNNNNNNNNNNNNNNNNNNNNNNNNNNNNNNNNNNNNNNNNNNNNNNNNNNNNNNNNNNNNNNNNNNNNNNNNNNNNNNNNNNNNNNNNNNNNNNNNNNNNNNNNNNNNNNNNNNNNGUGAUUUUACAUAUAAUCGAUCAAUAUUUUUCAGGAAUAUUGAAAUUAUAAUAUCAUAUUCUUUUAGAGCAAUUAAUAUUUUUCUUGUUUUUUAAAAAUAUUAAUAACAACAUGUUUCUUCAGGUACACCAACACAACCUUUUUUUUAAUAUUAUUUUUAUAUAUAUAAAAUGUGCUUUAUUUUGAAACACAACGAGACACAUAAUCUUCAAUAUAAAAUUUAUGCUCUACAUGAGUAUAAAUACAAUAUUCUUCUGGAAUAUUGACAUUAACGAUUUAUUAUACCUUUCGAGCUAAAUAAUAAAAUUUAUACCUUACAUGAGUAACAAUGAAAUAUUAUUCAUGAAUAUUUAUAUAACGUGUGUUACAUUUUUUCAAGAACAUCAACAUUAUAUUCGUUUAAAAUAACUAUAAUUUAAAUUAUGUUUUUACAGGAGCGUUGAGUCAAUAUUCUUUUUGGAAUAUUGAACUUGUAAUAUCAUGCUCUUUAUAAGAAAGUAAUAUUAUUCUAAAAUAUUAAUAAUGUUGUGCUACUUCAGGAGCAACAACAAAUUAUUUAUAAUAGAUAGAUAUACAAUUAAUAGUCUUUUGGAAUAUUAAUUAUAAUGUUGUGCUAUUUUUGAAACAAUACGAUGAUAAAUUCUUAAUUUGAAUUUCGUAGAAUAAUAUCUAAAAAUAUUUAAUUACCAUAUAGACAUGACAUGAAUUUAUAUCGAAAAAUUAAUUACCAAACAUACAUUAAGAAAAAAAGGAUCUCCAUACAUAGAAGUUAAUAAAAUUGAUUAAAUCUUUUACCAACAUAUAAAAGAUACUAAACAUUCAUGUGAAUUUCACAUAUAUAGAAAUUACAGAUAGAACUAAUAUGUAACAGAUUCAAAAGACAGAAUUAAUACUGAAUGAUAUGUGGAAAAAAAUGAUCGUGUAUGAAUAAACAACGUGAAUUAACAUAUGUUCAGAAUACACAUACAAACGUGAAUUAGAAUUAAUGUAUAUACCAAUGAAAAGUAGAGAAGAAGAAGCAACCUCGUUAUGAUGCAUAUGUAAUCGAAAUAUUUCACAUGUUACCAAAGUAAUUUUGAUAUACGUGAUAAAUAUUCAUACUUAUAAAAAUUAUUACCUUCAUUAAAUUUUGAAAAAUUAAGUUAUCGUGUUGAAUAUGCUGAUAACGUGUUAUAAAAGUGAAGAAAAGAGAAGUGAACAGAGAAAAGUCAAUAGACUUGUGUGUAUUUUAUUAAAAUCCAAAAUCCUAAUUUAUAGGACAAAAUCAGGGAUACAACAGUAAUAAUUUUUAGGACUGCAAAAGUAUAUUGUCAUUUACCUCUAAACUCUAAUACACUUACUGUUUACAACAAGUUUAAAAUUUUAAAUUAGUUUUUUUUACUUAAAAUAUACAAAGUUGUCCAAAAAAAGAUAUCUCUAUACCUGCCAGGCUGCCACGCGUCCAGAUAAAAGACCCCCACAAUGGACCACUUGUAUUGAUUUCAUUGGAUAAAAAACUAACCAAUAAUUGUACGCACUAACCUUGCGCUCUUUCCAUGUGGAUUCCAAAGGUGAUGUUCACUGUUCAGCUUGCAGAUAAAUAAGAUAAAAAUAUAUAUCAUGACGAAAAUAAGAAGGAAAUGACAAAAUAAGGAAAAGACAAAGAUAUAAUGGUCGAUAAUGAUACAAGCGGAUCAAAAUUUGGAUAUACUGUCAAAUAUAAAUGCUUUUAUAAAUCAAAAUUAGCAAAUUAUAGUAUGUCAAACAAUGAAGUUAAUUUAAUUAUUCAAGGUCAUCUUUGGGAGUGAUUUUUUUCCCAAAAAAAUUGAUUUUUUGACCGUUAUUUCACUAUUUCAGCCAUCAUAUUUGACUUCUUCACUCACAUGUGGACCCUACUUUUCUUUUAACGAUCAAAAAAUCAAUUCUCAAAAUUACUCACAAACAUGCUCCAAAUGUGAGAAAAUAGUAACUCUAACUCGUUCGGCUUUUGCCCGAGGCAGAGAGCCCCACACUCUCUUCAAUAGUUCCAGUAAUACAAAAGCUCGACUAUAACAUCUAUUUAAAAAAUGGAAGUGCUACAUUUAUAUAAUUGUUUACAUAAUGGUGUCCAUAAUUACACGUGGUACUUGAUCCAACAUUUAAUUCAAAUCUCACAUUUGCAUAUCAACAAUCGAAUGAUUGCCACAUCACAUUAUGGACACCAUUAUGUGCAAUAAUUAUGUACAAGUAGAAUUUUCCUUUAAAAAAAGAUGCUUAAAAUAAAUUAGAUUGUUAGUAAAAUCAAGUUUACCGGAUAAAUCCUCUAAAACUACCACUAUCGAUAUAUUAAACACUGCUUUCGAGCUUAAGAGGAACUUAUCUUAUAUGAACGCACAUGUCAACUAUUCAAUCUUCGAAUUCAAUGUUUCUUAUUUUUUACAAAUAGCAAGCCCUUGAUGGCUUGUUUAUAUAUAUGUCAAAUCUUGAGAUAGUUUGAAGAGUUCGUUUUUGUAUAAUUUUUGAAAAGUCAAAAGUUACUUAUAAAAUUAAAAAAUUGCAUUUGAAUUAAUUGAAUAAUUUUCUGAAAAUAUUUUAUCCGAUUAAAUGAAUUUAUAAAGGAAAUUGGUGUAACAAAGCUUCUUAUGAAACUUUCCCAUAAGAAUCAAAAGUUCUAUCGAAAGUGUCGAAACAUUACUAUCUAAUCCUAACAUUAUAAAAAAAUAGAAUUAUGUACAUAAUUAUUAAUGAUUUCGACUUGAGUUAAAAUUUACAUCAAUAAAAUAGAUCUCUUGUCUUCAGUGAACAAGAAAAAAAUUAAUCAUUGUUGAUGUGACAAGAGAAUCGUACCUUGACACUGGGGAAGGGGAUUGUGCCUAUCUAUACCAAACACAUUGCAACGGGAUAGGCCUAACUAACAAAAUUUUUAUUUUUUUAGUAUUUAUUUAUCGUUUUUUCAGAUAUUAUUUGCUUUAUUCAUUCUGUAUCAACAUAAACCGACCGUUCGAUGUGAUGUCAAAUCACAGUCAAUUCAAAGUCCAGAAUCUAUACGUGGAGCAACAAAGAAUCGUACAUCCCAGAUAUUUUAGUGUUGCGAGUCAUUCAUUUCCCCAAAAUUAGCCACGUAUUCCUCCCCGAUAUUUUUAGCAUGAUAGAGAUUUUUUCCUAUCAACCACGUGGCAUCAUCUCCACUACAGUCCGCACGGUUACGUUUCUCUUCGAUUCUUCGCUCAACCAAUCUUCAGUGGCAACGAUAGUCUUAUUGAAUAAAUCUUUGACGCGUGUCUCACAUGCUGAGGACUAAUGAUUUCUAGGUAGUUAUUAUUUAAUUCUUUGCCACGUGUCCCUCUGUUCGUUACAUGCAUAUAUAUAUGCGUUUGCAGAGGAUAAUUCCUCCCAUCGUCGUAGUAAGAAUGAGCGAGUCUCCGAGUCAGAGACGGAGGGUUCACCAGGCUACUGAGUCUUCCCAGUCCGGGAUUUUCAAUGAGCGUAUUCUCGUCCUUGUCUUCGAGUCUUUAAAAUGGGAUAUUCGAGAUCUUUGCGCGACUGCGUCUGUUAACCAUAAACUUCGCGCCGUCUCGAAACGACUUCUCUGGAGGGAGCUAUGCGUGUAUCGCGCACCUCGAAUGAUAGCUACAUUGAUGGAUGGUGUGCCUAACAGCCGAAUUUGCGGCGGAUGGCAGUCGAUGGCGAAAUUACUAUUUUUCUGUUGCGGAUGUGAGUCGACUCGGUGUAUUAGACUGAGUCAACCCUUGCACGGUCAUUUCAUGAAGGAGUCCCGGUUUUCGAAGACUUCGGGUCAGAGCUUUUUGACGAAGAAAUGCAGAGGAGAUGUGCUAUAUUUGAGCGACCCGUGUGAGCAUCCAGCAAGGGGCAAAGAGUACGAUUUAGGUAUUUAUAGAGGGGUAUUUCGGGAAUUUAAGAAGUCGAGGACCCGGGAGUGUUUGAUAAACCGCCGGGUGGAGUUUGAGGAGAAAAUCCGAUGUCCUUAUUGUGGGACUCGGGUCUGGAGUAUGACAGCGGCUCGGCUUGUUCCCAAGAAGAGUGCGGCUAGGAGACUCGGCUCGCACGAUGAGGGAUUAGAGUAUUUCGUGUGCCUGAAUGGGCACUUGCACGGGACAUGUUUGCUGGUGCCACUAUCGUCCGAUGAAGAUGAAGCUGCUGAUGAUGAGAGUGGUGAUGAUUUGGACGGUCAGUAGACCGUAAUGUAUCUAUAUGUCAUCGGAAUUGGCUGGCUUAGGUACUCCGCCGCAUGGAAUUUACAGAUUUUUCUUUCUUGUACGGUCAGUGAUUCCACGUAUUGAUAUGGAGUCAUUUUCCUGUUGUAAAUUUGAUGCACCAUUGUGUCUGUAUAUUUUUUGCAUUGAUGGAGAUUAGUAACAUUUAGUGUAAGAUAAUGUUAUUAGUUUAUUACUUUUAAUUCAUUAAUGGAGACUUAGUCACAAAUUCAAGUAGACCCAUUUAACUGGACUGUAUAUACUUGCGCUCCUAUUCUCUUGUUUACAAGGGAAAGUUUUAUUUUGUCCACCUCAAAGAAAACCUUAUUUCAAGUCUCACACCUGCCACAUCAACAGGUAAGCAAUCUUAUCGCGCCCACCGUGGGCAAGAAAACAAUUUCUUAUAAAGGAUGGACAAGAUUUUAAACUACUGUUUUCUUAAAACUGUCCAUCAAACCCAAUAUGGAUUUAUUAACUUAUUUCUCUUCAUUUCCAACAAUAUCUCGGUGGUCGUUAACUAUAUAUACACACUACCUAAAGAAUUUCCAAAUCACGAAAGAGGCCCUGAAUCCAAACACCAACACUUGUAAUUUGAUUUGGAGAUAUUGAAAAGUUCAUCUGGUGUCAUAUUCUCAAGUUCUUUGGGCUUCCAAGAAUCAAAAGUGUUGGUAGAUGCAUUAUGAGCAGCCAAUAACAUCCCCAUAUCUUUUCUUGGGUGACAUUGUGACCGCAUUUUCUUGUACAACCUCAUUGCUGAUACACAAUCUUCGUAAGGAUCAUGCAACCCCGACUGGAUAUCGUACCUAUUAAACCAAAGCCCAUGUCAUCAACCAAACUUACAAUAUUCAUGAACAAAACAUUUAAAGGAAUUGCAAAUCGACUAGAAUAGUUACCCUACUAAACUAUUUUAGCAGUAUAUGGAGAUUGCACUUAAAGAUGAAAACCAUUUUUCCUAUUUGACCACAAAACUGUUGGGCCAUCUUACUGAAAUCUCAAUUCAGAUCAAUGAUCAUGAGAAACAGACUGUCAAUUUUCAGAAAAGUUCACUGUAAAAAUAUUGCUUGUCUGAAGCUGCCAUUCUUGCAGUUACACAGAGAACAUUAUUAACUUCAAUAUAUUUUUCACUUGGUCUAGAGUUCAUGACAAAAAAAUUGGAGAUUAUGGAUUAGUAACUGAAAGGAAGCCAAAGAAAAAUCGAGGACUAUUCAGAGGGAAUGACAGAUACUUAUGAAUAGCAACUAAUAGGAAGCCCACGAAAACCGGGGACUAUUCAGAGGGAAUGCCAAAAAUCCCUUGUAAAUGUCCACGCCCACCCCUAAGAGUCGUUCAGGUUGUUUUUAUAUACUUAGUCUCUGGUACUUCCAUUUAGCUCCAAAGCUCUUCUAUUCCUUUGGUAAAUUGUAUCUUAAAUUAGCAAAAAAGGAACCCAAGAAUAAUCACUGGAUGGCAACUUACCCAAGAGAGGUCUUGGUGAGGUACUUGAGCGAGUGGCUGACGAGGUUUGUCUUCAUUAAGGGAGGGUAUUUUGCUGUAUCCCUGCACAUAAAGAGGGUGAAAAAUUAAGCGCAACGGAGUACGCAGCAAAACAAUUUCAUCUACAUCUUUCUUAUUUCAUUACUCUUGAUUAUAGAAGCUAAAAUUCAAGGACAAUCAGUAUACAAUGACCAGCUCGCAGAUACACUAGGUAGAAAUGGAAGUUCAUAUUACAAUCCACUGGCGAGAACUCAGUCAAGUUAAUUCAAGAAAAUAUGAAAUCAUUAAAAUUUAUAAACCAAUAAGUUAGCCUUUUAAGAUCGAUCCUCCCCAUUUUCUGGUGCUUAUUUCCUCCCUUUUUUUGGAGAUGGGACAAAGGAAAGGGAGUAGGAUUUGGAAUUAAAGAACAUAAAUCACCAUAAACCAAAAUAUAAUGAGCUCUGUAUAUUGUCCACGAGCCUCCACACAAGAAGUCCAUUCUCAUUGAAGACAAUAAAUCAAUUUCUUCGAACAGGUUGUUGGAUGCAAUGUAAUCUCAUGAAAAUGGAUUUGUAACCUUAAUUGCCCCAAAAUGACUUCACCUCAGGAGAUGAUCAGGAUAAUUCAUUCUCAAGCAAUUUAAAUCGUGCCCAAGGGAAUGACCCACAAGAACUCUAGCUUUGCCACCAUGUAACCGUAAUCUUCCAAUCGACUCUCCAUUGUAGAGAAUCUGCAAAAUUUUAUCUUGCACUUCCUUGAGUGGCAUAGCAUCUCUCAUAUUCUCCUCAGUAAUACCAGUAACUUCGUUCCUAAAACAAUAAUAUACAUAGAAUUAUAACUGAUGAGCAUGCCUAUUAACCUAAUUAAAAACUUAAAGAAUAAAUAGAUCAUAUGCAUAACCCAGAUACCUAAAAUUGGUAACAGGAAUUAGCGGUACUACAUAAGUAUGGAAAAUCGGUUUUUCCUCUUCAUCAACAAGGCACACCCUAGCACAUAUAUCCAGUGACCCAUCACUUCCUCCACCAACCAUUUCGCAAUCCAUAGCGAUUGCUUCAGGAAUCCUCCCACUGUCAUUAGUAUCAAUUUGAGAUUCAGUCCAAUGCAUCUUCACAAAAUCCUGUAUAAUAAAACAAAACUUUUGACGUUCACAUGCUUGUAACAUUCAAAGUCCAUUUUCCAACAACCAUAAUAUUUCCUGAAAAAAAAAAAAAGCUUAUGAAUCUAUGAAUUUGUGUUUAAGGUAAAAGGAGGGAAAGUUUCCCAGGUCAACUCACAAUGGGGAAAGGAGCAGGUAGGCAACAGAUUUCCAGGUGUUCACAGAGAGAAACUGGACUGUCGAAAAUUCUCAUACAGAGGCUGCAACCUCUUUCAGAGGAUAUCUUUGAACAAUUCCCUUUAGCCAGUGAACCUAAAGGUUUGAAAAAAUGAUUAUACGUAUGAGCACCUGAGUCAACCUUUGACAUAUAAAUUUUCCAAACUGUAGUAUCGUAUAUCACCAGUCGAGUGCUCCCUUAGUGAUGCAAAGGAUUUGCAAUGCUUUUGACACACACCACAUUGAGGCUGGUGAACUGAGUGAUACGAGAUUUUCAUAUGUGCAACAAGAUGCUCCUUUUUCUUAUACUGCUUGAAACAUGCUGCACACUUAUGCCUGGAAUCAAUCACAAAUUACACACAACUUCCAGUAAUUUAGGGGGAUUAUUCAAAUAUUAGAAUAUGAUAAAGUUAAGCCGUCAGUAUGGGUUGAUUUUGUAAUGCACAGUGUCAACUUAUGCCAACCAAUCUAUUAUAAAGUAAACAGUAAGUGACGAAUUACUGUGGAAUGAAGAUAGCCGGUCAGCAUAAUGUCACAAAGCUUAAAUUGAUCAUAAACAGAGAGUUCACAAGAACCUAGUGCAGUACAUUUUGUCUAUGAGAGAGAUGGAUAGACAAAGUUUCUGAUUCCUUAUGAUAUAAUUAGAGUAUCACCUAUAUGAUAAGGCAUCAAAGGGAUUGUUGCAUUUUAAACUCAAGGAAAACAUUUUCUAAGAAGCCUUCCAAAAAUCUCUACAAGUUUGACUACACCCGGCUCUCAAAAUAAGCAAAAGGAGAUAAAAACGUAUGGAAUCUCUCAAUCUGUCCACUGUUAAACCUCUUAUAUUUCUCACCUUCUAAACCUUCCUACACGAGAUCCUUUUCAGGUUGUUGUAUCUUAGCAACCUAACAGACAACACGUGCAAAAGAUGCAGCUGGAAUAUGCGAGCGGGAACUUCAGUUAGUCAGUUAGAAAAAUUGGAGUUAGUUUGAUCUAGUCCACGUGUCCAUUGUAUCAUUGGAGUUAGUUUGAUCUAGUCCAAGUGUCCAUUGUAUCUACUUUGUCCAGCUAGAACCAGUUCGAUUUUGUUGCGCAUUUGUCUAUUUAUACUCAGCAAUGUAAUGUACAUUUACGAUCUGGAAUACAAUUGAUUCUUUUCUUCCUCUUCAUUGUUUUGUUAUGGUAUCAGAGCUUUGUGCUUCUGCCAUUUGCCAUUUCAAACUUUAAUUGUGUUCCUCAUUGAUCAAUUUCUUCUGAUUCGAUAAUGGCAUCAAUUAUGAAUGCUUCGAACCAAACAAAUUCAUCAUCAUUGGUGAGCAAUUCUCUUGUUGAGGAUGUAUCUAGCCCUUACUAUAUUCACCACUCAGAUAAUCCGGGACUGAUGUUGGCGUCACAGCCCCUCACUGGUGACAAUUAUGCUUCAUGGAGUAGAGCAAUGAUGAUCAUUCUAUCCGUGAAGAAUAAACUAGGUUUUGUGGAUGGAUCGUUAUCCAAACCUGAAAGUUUGUGAUGAUCAAAUUAACAGUUGGAUUCACAACAACAACAUGGUCAUAGCUUGGAUCCUCAAUGCCGUGUCAAAAGAGAUCUCAGCAAGUGUCAUUUACUCCGAGUCAGCACAUGAUAGAUGGGUUGAUUUGAAGGAGAGGUUCCAGCAGAGAAAUGGACCAAGAAUUUUUCAGUUAAAACUUGAGCUAAUGAAUCUCACUCAAGGCCAGAUGUCUAUGAGUGUUUAUUUUACCAAAUUGAAAACAAUUUGGAAAGAAUUGAGCAACUAUCGGCCGGUAUGUUCCUGUGGAAAAUGUGCUUGUGGCGGUAACAAGAAGAUAGCAGAUCAUUACCAGAUGGAGUACGUUGUGUCCUUUUUGAUGGGAUUAAAUGAUACCUUUGCACAGGUCAGGGGACAAUUGCUACUUAUGAACCCCAUACCUUCUAUCAAUAAGGUGUUUUCCUUAAUCUCCCAGGAAGAGCAUCAAAGGAGCAUAAACGCCAAUGCAGGAAGCUCCGGCACUGGAGAUUCAAUGGCGUUUUAUGCAAAGGCUGACUCUAGGAAACUCAAUACAGGGCAAACACAUACCAGGUUCCAAAGAAAGGACAAACCAGUGUGCACCUACUGUGGGCAGGAAGGUCACUCAGUGGAGAAAUGUUACAAGUUACAUGGAUAUCCUCCUGGAUAUAAAAUGAAACAAAGAUCAGGUGCCGUGAAGGCAAGCUGCUGCAAAUCAUGUAAUUUCUGAGCCCUACUCAGAGCAAGUAAAAAGCAGUGCUGGGGGAGACUUUAUGCAAUCCUUAAAUCCUGAUCAAUACCAGAAAUUAUUGAGUAUGUUAAGCAGUCAUUUGGUCUCUGCAAAGGUGGACACCGGAAUUGAUGAGCACUCUAAUCAAGUAUCAGGUACUUGUUUCUCAAUCUCCCUUAAUCCAUGGCUCAAUUCACCUAGGCAUUGGGUAUUAGACUCUGGGGCAACCAGCCAUAUUUGCUUCAAUUUAUCAGCCUUCCAGAAUGUGAAGCCAGUAAAGAAUGCCUAUGUUACAUUGCCAAAUUAUAAGAGGAUCCCUGUAAAAUUCAUUGGCACUUUGAGAUUUGGUCCUAAUUUGAUACUUGAAGAUGUACUGUAUGUGCCGCAUUUUAAAUUCAAUCUAAUGUCGGUUAGCUCAUUGACCAAGGACCAUUGUAUUGAUGUCAGAUUCCUCACUAACAUGUGUAUUAUCCAGGAUAUGCACAGCAAGAGGAUGAUUGGCAGGGGUAAAAGAGUUGCAGGUUUAUAUGUGAUGAGUGAUACUCCAUUUGAGUCAGCACAAAUCAAUGAAGAUAACAGUUUGAUUGAUGAAGUUUGUGUUUCAAUUUCUUCGGCAAAUAAAGUGGAUGUUCAUACAUGGCACCACAGAUUAGGGCACCCAUCCUUCCAGAAGUUAGUUCUCCUAAAGGAUCAUUUGCAUUUGAAUUGUGAUAAGUUCAAGAAUUACAGCAACGUUCCUUGUAGCAUUUGUCCAUUAGCAACGCAAAGAAGACUUUCUUUUGUCUCAAAUAAUCAUUUUUCUGCCAAUGCUUUUGAUUUAAUACAUUGCGAUACAUGGGGGCCUUAUCAUAUUCCAUCUCACUCCGGACAUUGCUAUUUUCUUACCUUGGUAGAUGACUGUACGCGAUUUACAUGGGUUUACCUCAUGAAGAACAAAUCAGAUGUUAGUUACAUUGUGCCCAGAUUUUUCAAAUUAGUAGAAACUCAAUUUCACAAGACAAUAAAGAAAUUUCGAUCUGACAAUGCACCCGAGUUAAGGUUCACUGAUUUCUUUCAUUCUAAAGGAGUUCUUCAUCAGUUCACUUGUGUCGAAAGGCCUGAACAAAACUCCGUUGUUGAAAGAAAACACCACCAUUUACUGAAUGUUGCCAGAGCUUUGUUCUUUCAGUCACAAAUCCCCAUCAAAUUCUGGAGUGAAUGUAUACUGACUGCCACCUUCAUCAUCAACAAACUUCCAUCUCCCAUUUUACAAAACAAAAGUCCUUUCUCCAUUCUAUACAAUGCCCCGAUUGAUUAUAGUCAGUUUAAAGUGUUUGGAAGCCUGUGUUUUGCGUCUACUUUACCUUCUAGUCGAACGAAGUUUCAUCCUAGAGCUAGAACCUGUGUUUUCAUGGGAUAUCCUCCGGGAAUAAACGGGUAUAAAGUAUAUGACAUUGUCUCUAAAACCUUUUUCAUUUCUAGAGAUGUGAUUUUCCAUGAACAUAUUUUCCCUUUUCAAUCUAUUCCCUACCAAUCUGAUGUCAUCGAUCCCUUUCCUGAUCUUGCCAUUCCUAUUUUUGUUCCUAAGUUACCCUUGUCCACACCACAGCCCAAUAUUUUUUCUGAUGAACACAUUGUAAGUACCAACAAUAUACAUGAAUUGCAGCCCAAUUCUCCUCCUAUCAACACUCCUUCCAUAAAUGAUAUUCCCAGAAAGUCAGUCAGGUUUAUCAGACCGCCCUCCUAUCUUCGAGAUUUUCAUUGUAAUCUUCUCAUCAAUACUCCACAGCCUUAUGAAUCAUCACCAUAUCCUUUAUCUAAAUAGCUCUCUUAUAAAACUUUUGCACCAUCUCAUCGUCAAUUUCUUCUAACUAUUUCAUCAAAUUUUGAACCUGAAUUCUAUUAUCAGGCUAUUAAACAUGAUCAUUGGAAGGAUGCCAUCGUAGCCGAAUUAGAUGCUAUGGAAACAAACAAUACCUGGUCUAUUGUUCAACUGGCUGCAGAUAGGUUUACAAGAUCAAGUAUAAGUCAGAUAGUAGUGUGGACAGAUACAAAGCGCGCUUGGUCGCCAAAGGCUAUACCUAGCAAGAGAGUUUAGAUUUCACUGAGACUUUCUCCCCAGUCGCAAAGCUAGUUACUGUAAAAGUUUUCCUCGCCAUAGCAGCUGCCAAGAAUUGGCAUAUCACACAGCUUGAUGUCAAUAAUGCGUUUCUUAACGGGGAUCUCUUCGAAGAAAUAUAUAUGGAGUUACCACUGGGAUAUAGAGCAUAUGCUGAUUCUCGCAUUCAGGGGGAGAAUUUGGUUUGUCGACUUCACAAAUCAAUUUAUGGUCUUAAGCAGGCAUCCUCGGCAAUGGUUCUCUAAAUUCUUCGAUGCCCUCAUUACUCAUGGUUUUAAACAAUCAAAGUCCGACUACUCACUAUUUACCAAAGGUUCUGGUAACAACUUCAUUGCCCUUCUAGUAUAUGUGGACGACAUUCUCAUUACAGGUUGCAACCAGCAUGAAAUUGAUUGUUUAAAAGUCUUUUUGCACACUCAUUUUAAGCUAAAGGACCUUGGCAAUUUGAAGUAUUUUCUUGAGCUAGAAAUAGCCAGAUCCCAGCUUUUUUUGUCACAACGACAAUAUACUCUGCAAUUGUUAGAAGACACUGGAUUCUUGGCUAGCUAACCAGCCACUCUACCUAUGGAUCCUAAACUCAAGCUUAGUUCUUUUGAGGGUGAUCUGAUUACUGAUCCUUCCAUGUAUCGGAGGUUGAUUGGCCGUCUCCUUUACCUAACCAUUUCAAGACCAGAUAUUUCUUUUGCAGUCGACAAGUUGAGCCAAUUUGUUUCACAGCCCACACAGCCUCAUUUGGAUGCAGCUCACCAUCUUUUGCGGUAUAUCAAGGCUACUCCAAGGCAAGGACUCAUGUUUUCUACACAUUCUUCACAUCAGUUGAGAGCCUUUACAGACAGAGAUUGGGGCUCCUGUCUUGAUACACGAAAAUCAGUCACCGGCUUUUGUGUUUUUCUUGGAGACUCUUUGAUUUCUUGGAAAGCUAAGAAGCAGUCCACCAUAUCCAGAUCUUCAGCAGAAGCUGAGUACCGUGCAUUAGCCUCAACCGCCAGUGAGUUGAUUUGGCUUCAACAACUACUUCUUGAUUUUCAGAUCAUACAAAAGGAUCCUGUCUUAAUUUUUUGUGAUAAUCAAGCGGCAAUUCAUAUUGCUUCUAAUCCAAUUUUCCACGAACGAACUAAGCAUAUAGAGAUAGAUUGUCAUUUUGUUCGAGACAGAGUUUGUGAUGGUUCUAUCAAGCUCUUACCAGUUCGAUCUUCUCACCAAUUGGCUGACAUUUUUACGAAGGCGUUACCAGCUACCUUGUUGUUUCCUCGACUAUCCAAGAUGGGGGUUGUCAACCCUCGCCUUCCAUCUUGAGGGGGAGUAACAGACGACACAUGUGCAAGAGAUGCAGCUGGAAUAUGCGAGCGGGAACUUCAGUUAGUCAGUUAGAAUAAUCGGAGUUAGUUUGAUCUAGUCCACGUGUCCAUUGUAUCCACUUUGGACAGCUAGAAUCAGUUCGAUUUUGUCGAAGUCAAAAACUAAUUUGAUCUUCAGCUACUUCUAUAAUGGCAAGUUAAAAGAAUACCAAGUAUUGCAAACACGAGCAAAUGAAAAUCAACAAUCUGAUUGUAUUAAUUAUAAUGAACACCUCGCAAAACAGUAACAACGACAAAUAAAACCAGCCAAGUAAUCCAAAAACAUUAACAAAGAACAAAUGCAUUGCCCACAAAUAAAACGAAUCACUAACACGGGGUAUCUUUAUAUUCUUAGUUCGAACUUAAAAAUCGUUAUAUUCUUAGUUCUAACUGUUUUAAGUUCGUAAGAAAAACGAAUUUCUAAGUAAUAAGAAUGAUUUUCCCCGCAACAUAACAAAGGGUUCUCAUAAAUUCACUUGAGAGAAAUGGAAAAGUUGCCUUGCUGUUGUUGUUGUUAUUGCGGGUUUCGCAGAAUUUUCACUGGAUUCCAUGGUGUUCUGAGCUGAAAUUAUUCGUAGACAAAGAACUAGAAGAUUAUUGAAACGUUGAAAUAAUGCUAGACGGAUUUGGGGUAGGGCUAGGGUUUCUAGAAUUAUUGUUCAGGAAAAUUGAUAGAGCACUCAAACCGUUAAUGAGUUCACGUGAACUUCAUCCCUUUUUUUUUCUUUUCUUUUUUUUUUAAUAACGGAAAACCGCGGACAAGUAUCUCUGUUCUAUAUAAAUUGUCCAAUUUAGGUGAACGUUUGUAUUCUUGUGUCUAUGAGGUUAUAAGUUUGUGGCAUCUUAUAUUCGACGAUGAACUGUGUGAUUAAAAAGGGAUAUGUUCGUGAGAUGUCAUAUAUUAUCCCGUGAAAUAUAUUUUGAGGGAUAUAUACUUUUCGAUAAAAGAUUAAAGAAUGAGAAAAGGAGAAACAAACCGAACAAGGCAAUAAUUGGUGACUGGGGGAUUUAGGGGCGUUGGUAAUAUUGUUGAAGAGAAAUUUGUAAAUAGAUCUUCUAUUUUCAAGUACUUAGAAUAUUUAUACUCAAUUAAAUAAAAUUAUUAAAGAUAAAAUCAAUGACACAAGGUUUUGUUUCUUUUAUUGUCGUAACCAUAAGUUAGAAUUUUAAAUAUUUUAGUUGUGUAAUUGUUUAAUAGUAAAAGCAAUGAUUUCUUCUAUUAAUUAUGAGCUUUAAUUUAAGUUAUUUCAUUAUAAUGUGUAAAAUGUACAAAACAAUUUACGUAUAUUAUCAAUUUGGUCAAUAAAAUCUUACUAAACAACAGAAAAAAUAACUCGGUAGGGAAGUUUAACUUUUCAUUUAAAAAAAAAAAAAAUGAAAAAAUGUAAAGGUACGAGAUCCAUUUACACGUUUUCCAAACGCUAGGGACCUAACCGCAAUUUUUCUUAAUCAAAAUUAAGGGCAUAAUAGUCUUCAUAAAAAGGACCAACUAGCCACCAAACAUAUCGCUUAGGGAUGUUAAUGUCAGGAAACAAAUGUUAAAGACCAUUUACGCACUGAAGAAAAAUGUUAGCGACCAUUUACUCCAAAUUUCCCAGUAAACAAUAUUUGAGAGAGCAACGCUAUUCAUCAUCACAGAUUCACAAGUGUUAAACACCAUUUUAGGUGGCAAUUAUAUGUCAUUAAAUUAUAAAUUCAUUUAAACGCAAAGUCAUAUGACUUGUGUAAUUGAGCAUAUUAAAUAUAGCCACUUAAAUUGGUACUCUAGCACCACUGAUGUUAAAUAACAUUAUUCUAUUUAAGAUAUUCAUAACCACGCGUCAGGUUAGAAAAUAUAAGAAAGUAAUUCUAUUUAACAUUGCUCGUGGCAGCACUAGUUUAGAUGACAAUUGCAUAACAUUAAAUGAUAGAUUCACUUAAAUGCUCUUUCACAUGGUUUAUUUAAUUAAAUCUAUCGAUUAUUUUCAUAAUGUCAUUUAGAUUGGUGCUGUAAUACCACUACUAGUAGUAUUAGAGCACUAGUCUAAAUUGAACUUUAGUACAGCUUUCCACCCUCAAACUGAUAGACAAUUCAAACAUUAGAAGAUAUAUUGUGAUCGUGUGUCCUAGAGUUUGGUGGACAUUAGGAAAAGCAUCUACAUUUAAUUGAGUUUACAUACAAUAAUAGCUAUCAUGCCUCUAUUGGCAUGGCAUCCUCUAAGGUUUUAUAUGGGAGGAAAUGUAGAUUGUCUAUUCAUUGGGAUGAGAUUGGCGAACGUAAGAUCUUGGGCCCAGAAAUUGUGGAGCAGACAGUACAAGCAAUCGAAAAGAUCAGAGUUAGCACGAAGAAGGAUCAAGAUAGACAGAAAAAUUAUGCAGAUAAAAGGAGAAAUGACUUGAAAUUUGCGAUAGAAGAUAAAGUACUUUUAAAGGUUACACCCCAUGAAGGGGGUGCUAGGAUUUGGUAAAAGGGGUAAGCUCAGUCCAAGAUACAUUGGUCCUUUCGAAAUUUUAAAGCCGGUUGGAAAUGAUGCAUACCAGUUAGUUAGCCUUACUACCAGAGUUUUCAACUGUACACAAUCUCAUUCAUGUAUCAAUGCUCAGAAAGUAAGUCCCUGACCCAACUCAUGUGGUGAGACAUCAACCGUUAGAUAUUCAACUGAACCUAAGUUACGAAGAAGCACCAAUAUGCAUCAUAACUCAAAAAGUACAGAAGCUACACAACAAAGAGAUACCCAUUGGUUAAAGUGUUAUGGCAACAUCACUCAAUAGAAGAAGCUACUUGGGAGCAAGAAGUUGAUAUGUGAGCCAAGUAUCCACAACUCUUCGAGGAGUUCCAAGGUAAAUAUCGGGGAUGAAAUUUAAUUUAAAGGAGGUAGGUUGUAAUAUCCCAAAUUUUUUAUUACUAGUCAUUAGAUUAAAAAAUAGGACUCAAGUGCUCUAUUAUUAAAGUUUAAUGAUCUUAUUAACUACUAGUCAAUAGUUUGAGGGCUUAAGUGAAGAGUUAAUUUGGAAGUUCAAUGAAAUUAUAUGUAAAAUAUAUGUAAAUAUAUCAAUUAGCCAUGAUUAAAAAUUAUUUAUUUGACCACAUGUAUUAUUUACCAUAUUUUAAGCAAAGUAAUUACUUUAACCACAUAAACUAAGGUAAUUGAUUUGACCACAUGCAUUAUCUACAGUAAGUUUCAAGCCAAGUCAAUUGAUUUGAUCACAUGAUUAAAGGAAUUGAGUUGACAACUUUCAAGACAAUGCAUCAAUUAUAUUUUGAUCAUACCUAAUAUCUAGCCAUUUUCUUUCAAUUUUCUAUAAAUUGUCCAAGAACUUACAUUAUAAAUAGGAGUUAAACUCAACAUUGGACUAUACCUUACCAAUUAUUUACAUUAUUCCUCUCUAUCUCUAUCACUUUGUCUCAAGAAUUUUAUCUUUUCUCGUCUUUUUCAUAUUAAAUUUGGUCAUAUACUUACACAAUCACACAACCCAACACGCGGCUCAAUGAUCUUCCUCCAACAAUCACUUCUUCUAUCAUUUUGAAUUGUCAAGUGAAAGGUAAGUGUAGUAGUACGAAUUGUUCUUUCAUUAUUUAAAUUACGAAAAUUUAUAUUAUUAAUAUGAUGUCCGAAAUUCAAGUUAUGAUUAUGAUAAAGGUCAUAUGUGUGUAAGUUCAAAGGAUCGGAGUUUAGUAGCACUACUCAUGUGAAUUAUAGCCACGAAGUUCGGAUUUUAAUUCCCGUGUCUCCAUAUGUAUAUUAUGAUUUUUCGUAAUUAAAUAUAAGAUGCAAAUUCGUUAUUAUUCAUUUACUGAGAUUUAUGGUUCACAUGUUUAUGUUAAAAACUUUAUAGGUAACUAGAAAGGGCGGGUUUGAGACGAUCGAAGGUGGAUUGUGCUUGAGUGCAUGAAAUGAAGAGUGAUUUAAGUUUAAGUUAAAGAUUUUAAUGAUGUUUAGUUUAAUUUAUUUUUUAUUUUAAUCAUUUCAUGUUAAAAAAAAAAAUUAUGUUUUUCAUUGUUUAGGAAAAGUAUCAUCUUACAGUAUAUGUAUAAUGAUUCCAAAGGUAAAAAUUUGGGUCCUUACACUGGCAAUUCUUGGGAGCAUAGCAUAAAGUCUCUCAGGGAAAGGCUUGAAAUCUCCACAAGAGCUUUCAACCCUGUUAGCAUUGCUGUAUGGAGUAAUGCAUAGUUCCAUCAUCUUGUACCCAACCAAACCCAAAUGUCGUACAAAAAUGAUUUAGUUUUGCAACUUAAGGCACCAGAAAAUGUGCGUUUGCUGCAAUGCAUCUAUCGUGGGAUCCAUGAAUUUCACGUUUUAUGGUUUCUUCACUUAACAACACUGACACUUACCAGGCAUCAUCGGGAAUUCGGGAUCAUUAGAUUCAAAAAAUGUAGCUCCUAAAUUUUCUUGCGUGGCAUGACCGCAUGACAUAAAUUGGCGUCCAUUUUCUUCUGCCAUAUAGCAAUUUCACCUUUCUCAGAUUUCUUGUCCCAACAGAGAAGCUAUAAUAUCCCGAAAUUUUAUAGAAUAUAAUUUAAUUUUAUUUAUGCUAUAUUUUUAAUGUUUUGAAAAUUUAAGGACUAAAGUGUAUAUAAAGUAAACUUUAAUAAUAUUUAGAUUAAAAUAUAAAUAUUGACGGGACGAUGAUAAGUAUACGGAUAUUGGGCUCGUUGGAUAGAAAAUAAUUAAAAACGCAUUUUAGACUCGAGAAAAAAUUAAUUUGGGUUAGUCGAGCCCAAGUUAUCGAAGCCGGAAGAUAUAACAUUAAAAUAUUAUCUUUAUUACUUUUGUUUGGAAGAAUUUAAGUGGAGAGAGAGAUGAAAGUUGUUGAGAUAUUUUAUUGUUUUAUUAUUAAUAAUAAUAUUUUAUUAAGUGUGUUUUGCAUUGGGAGGUCUCACGUGAAGUAACAGGAUUCUAAGUAGGUGGUAGGUAAGUGAUAAUUGAUUUGUUUAUUAAAUGAAAUAAAGUAGAGAGAGAGAGAGAAUUAUGGGAAGCCACGUUCCUAAUGGUUAAAACAAAUUCCCUUGUAUAUAUAUGGUGCACUGUCACGUGUAAGAUAUAAAUUAUUUUUUUAAAUUGUGGGCCGUUGGCAAGAUUUGGGUCAAGUUUCUGUUUCAACUAUUUUGAUCCAUAUCUCUUUCCCCACUCCCACACGUUUCCUCAUUUUUUUUUAUAUAGAUAUUUUUAUUAUGUCAUAUGAAAACAAUAGCUUUCAUUCACUUCACUGUAAUAUUAUUGCACGAUAAGGCAGAAAGAAAAGAAAAGAUAGUUGCAACGUGAUUUUGGGUUUUCUUAUUCCAAGAAAUUAUUGGAGCGUGAACCUUGUUUUGACUUCCAAAAUUUAAGCAGUUUAACAAGGUAGGAUAUGAGGUGCAGUAUUUUUUUUUAAUUUCUCGUUUAAUUAUUUUGGCUACAUGUGGACGAAUUUCAUAUUUAUGAAAGUUAAAGUUAUGAUAUUAAUGCUAUGAUAUGAAUGAUAUGGCCAUUCCGGUACAAUGAAAUGAAAUGAUAUGAUAUGAUAUGAUGUGAGCUCUUACCGGAUUUAAAGUUAUGCGACGGUAUGGUAUUCUGACACUUGUGUUAAAAUUAUUUUUCGGGAUCGCACCAUUAAUGUAAUAUCCUACUGAGUAUUCCCAUGUACUCACCCUUUUCCUACACCUCACAGGUUAGAUCAGGUCCUGUUGGAGCGUGGUGAUUCGAUGCGUGGUUGUGCCUCAUUUGCUGGACGAGAAUUUAUAAUUUUAACAAGUAAUUUUAGUUCAUUGCCAUAGACAUCCUAUUUUAAAGAUUAAGUUAUCAAUUAUGUUUAUUUGCUACAUGGAUAUUUUUUUUUUGUUUAAUUCAUUUUAAAUAGAGCUCGAACUAUAUGUUACUGCUUUUAUCGAUUUUAAUGGUUAAAAGAAAAUUGAUUAACUGUCAAGUUCACGUCAAAGACUUUUGCAUUUUUCUAAGGCAUCUACAGCCUUUUCAAGAUUUAUAAGAUGCAUGGUCAAAACAAUGAUUCUGUACCUGUCACACCAAAUUUUCAAUUGUCUGCCUACCACAGUUAACUUUAUGCAGUGAAGUUGUAUUAUUCAUUUGUACUUUGAAUUGGAUUUUUGAUAAAAAUAUUCAUAACCCAUAUUCACUAAUCAUGCUAGUAUAAAAGAUGUUAAAUACGGACAAAUGUCAUUUCAUUUUAUAUACUGUUCGAAUUAAAUAUUAUUUCUUACACCAAUGUCACUGUUUAAUAAUAAUUGAAUAUUUCUAUUGGAAGAAUUUUGUGAAUAGUGACGCCGAAAUAAGAAUAAUGAUGGUGACAAAGCCAAGGCAAGAGUUGGACUCUUUGUCCUUAAGUCGAAUUUGCCCCGCAACGGUGCCUACGGAUUUCGGCAAUUGACUCCCAAGAUACAACGGCUACACUUGUGUUUGUAGCACUCCAAAACACAAGUACAACGAACCAAAUGUAGGCUUAUGUACUCCACAGAUGAAAUGAAAGAAAAUCAAAAUAAAUGAAAUGAUUUUGAUUUUGGAUAGAAGAGAGGAUGAGAGACGUUUUUGCAUAUCAAACUGUGAGGAAUAGAACACCCAAAGGAUCCUAUUUAUAGACCAUGAAGGAGUGUGGACGAAAUGGUUGAGGCCAAACCAUGCACCCUUUCCAAAUAAUGCACCUUUAUGAAAAGGUGUCUAUUCAUUAAUGGUUGAGGUCUUUUUCGUAAUUUCUCAUUCAUCCGAUAUUGGUUUUCGAAAUGCCAAAUAUACCCUUCAAUACAUGCAGAGAAAUCAAAAUUCUCUUUCGGGGGCGUUGCCCCCGACCCCCCACGAGGGGCGCUGCCCCCUCGACCCUCGCGACCUGACCGGGCAGGUCGAUCCCCGUUUGUGCGCCCCGAAACGGCGAAGUGGCAAACAAUUUUGCCUAAACUGAUUGAGUCGAGCUUUUGAGUAUUUGGCCGAAUUCGAUACGAACUUUAAUCGAUUUUCAAUUCUCAAUUUAUUUAACCAAUAUCCAACAAUUUCUUUACUGACAAAUUCAUUUCAAAGUAGUAAAUGUAACUCUCAUAGCCAUGUGAUGUAACGUGUUUGGAUUUUCUCAAUGAAAAUAAGUUUUUAAAAGUAUCUUUGUCUUUUGUCACCUGUUAGCUAAAAUUCUUUAGUUAAAAUGUUUAGUUGGCCAUGAACACGUCGAAAUAUACUCAUUUACUCCUAGCAGAUUAGAUUUCUAGAAUGUGCCAGAUGAUAAUUUAAAAUUUAUUAAUCAUGUGGUUUCCAAUAAAUUUGAUUCUUUUAUAAUAAAGUUGGUAGCGACUAAAAUAAUAAUAAAAAUAAUAAUAAUAAUAAAAUAAAAUAAAAAAAUUUGGGUUGUUACAGAAGCUUAGCAGUCUCUUCACUCCUUGGGGCAUUGCCAUGCUUUAAAGUUUGAAGCAUCCAGCAGCCACCAGGCCUAGGAAUACGAUCAACUUCCUUCAUGUAUAUUCCACCUGCAAUGAAGACGAACCAAAUACAGACUGUACGCCAAGCUGUUCCGUGAAGUUAUUUAACUGAAGAUAAAACACUGCUGGAUAAGAAUCUUCUCAUGAGAAGGAAAAAGAGCCUGUUAAUAUUUUGAACUUCGAUAAGGGAAAGCCGCAAAGUUUUUGUCGUGUUUGCUGCAGGGGGAGGCUACAUCCUUGAUAAAUAGAUACGGACUAGCAAUCAAUUGCAUGUUUUCUUAUGUUCUUACAGUACGCUUGAGAUUAGUGAUAGCUUCAUCAUUAUCUUAUUAAUGCCUACUUAUGACAUGAUACAGAAUAUUGGACUUACGUGAGGGCUGAUGCUGAAGGCUUAGAUGAGAUUGGCCUUCUAGCCAAUGCUGGAAAGCUAAUGAUCCCAGUGGAGAGAACAUUUCCAAUUACACAAGUUCAAGAAGUUCAUGAGGCCAAUGAUAAGAGGCUGAUUCAAGGUAAAGUUGUGUCGGAUCUUGAUGAGUUCAAACCUGCUGUCCAUGAACCGGUGCAAUAAGCUUGACUUGUGUUUCUGUAAAUUGGUGAGCCUUAAUUUCUACAACGAGGGUGGGUGUGGCAAAGUCGGGGAAGAUGAGUAGCUGAGAUUUUCUAAAGAUCAAAAUGUCGCUAGAGCAGUUUGGAUUUCGUAAUUAUUGAUGUUAUAAAAAUAAACGUAGUGUAAAUGGUAAUUAAAUUUUUGUAUCUCUCAAGGCAUAAGUGUAAAUUGGUAUGUUUAUAUAGCGAAAAAUUGAGAGCCUUUUUAUAUAAUUUCCAUUGAGAAUUUAUAUUUGCGAGCCCCUUUUUAUAUAACCACAAGAUUAAAUCUUUGCCUAUUUAAUUGUAUUCAUAAUAUUUCUAUAACAAGUUUGGAAGAAAUUGAUUGUGGAAGAAAUUAACUGUUGGUAGAUUGGCCGCUUUUUUAGAACUGUUGUAUAUGUUCGUUCAACAAUCACCACACACUUAUAUUUAACAUUUACCAACUAACAUGCAACGCACGUUUUUCUCACUAAUAGUAAAAUAAAAAACUUGAAGUUGGUAUGCACGUAACCUAUAAAGGCCAUUUCUGACAAUAACAAUAAUGGCCAUGUUUGAACAACAUUUAAAAAAAAAAAAUUUUUUUUUAAACAGUGAUUUGAUAUCAUUUCAAUCACAUAUUUCGCAAAUUCAAAAUUUUUCUUUAUUUUUUAACCACAUAUUUCCCAUCAAUACACUAUUCAAAAAUACAUUCUAAGAAAAAUAAUGUGGCUCAAACAAGAGCAAUAUUUCCUGUCACAAGGUUACGAAUAUCUCAAUUUGUUUAUAAUAGAAGGUGAAAGAGAGAAUUCCUCAGGUCAACUCAAAAGGGAGAAGAGGAGCAGGUUGGGAACACAUUUCCUGGUGUUCACCGAGAGAAGCCUGCAACCUCUCAAACAACUAUCCAUUUAUAUAAAUAAUUACAAAACAACAUGACAAUAUAUAAGUACAUACUUAAACAAAGUAUUUUGUAAAUUUUUAUGACAAAACAAAGAAUUACUUAAGCACCUGCUUUCGUACUAAACAACAUGAUAAUAUAUAAGGUGACCGUUCAAAUGUGAUACUUACAAGCAAGGUCCACUAAGUACAUAACAAAAAUCGUAGACCCUUGAACCACACCACAUUCCAUUUUACACCUCCAAUCAAUCACAACCUUUUCGGAAUAUGACUAUUCAACGAAAUUCGGUUCAAUUAGAAUCCAGCCUGGUUGGUUCAUACAGUCAUUUUUCGAACAAGAGCGAGAGAGCGAGAGCUUUAUAUUUAUAAAUUUGUUCCCUUGGAACAGAGCCAUACACAAAGUACAAUUCACAACAGGAGCAAAUCGACUCUCUCAAUUAGUCUUUAAUAUUACAAAAAAACCAAAGUACACGUGACUGAACCAUUAAAUUUACAUCAGUAUCAUGCUGGAAGCUGCAGCUCGAAAAAUGUUUCACUAAUAACCCUAAAGAAGAUCUAAGCUAUUCUCUUUCUUCCUUAGUACAAGUCAGUAGCAACUCCUAUAGUCUCUGCUUCACGCGUCGACCAUUCACAUCACUUCCAUCCAUCAUACCUUCAUUCCCAUGCUUGCCAAUGGCAAUGGAGUGUUCAGUGAUCCUGGCAACGUACUCCAACAAUUCAGUGAGGACGCGAGGACAGCUUUCUUUCAAAUACUCAAACCCAUCGGUCUGCAUAACAGCUGCCAAAAAAAAAAAAAGUGUCGAUUUGUCGGUAACAAUUCAUAUCAAGCCUUUACAAACUUAAGACUAAAUACAAUAAAGCUCGCUCACUCUCUCUCUCUCUCUCGAUAAACAAAAAUGCAAAUUGUUUGUCAACAACCAGAGCUUUGAAAAAAUUUAUUAAUACGUAGCAGCAUGGGCUUCCUAUAUAGCAAAGGCACCAAAAGCUAAUUUAAAAUAAGAGAAAAAAAGACCAAAUGGUUAACUUAUCGUGUGUAUCAGAUCAAAUGGACAUUUCCAAAAACAAAAGAUUUGUACUCAAGUGCCUUAGUUUCAUGAGACUAAUCCAGAAUGAAUUGUUUGUGUUAGUGAAGGUUUGGCAGUAUUUCUGUAUAUUUUAAUAGGAAAAAGCAGUACACACAAAUUAAAAAGGAAAAUGAAAUAAGCUAUUUUUAAAAGUGAUCAAAAGAAAUGGUAGAAAAGCAAAAGGGUUCAAAAAUAGCACGAACAAAUGAAUGUCAUUAUCGCUUUCCAUGAGGUGAUAGAAAAGGUAGAAAAGCAAUAGGGUUCCUACAAUCUUAAGAUCGAGAUUGUGAUUUUAAUAUAACUGGAGGUCAGAUGGCGGUAUCAAGUGCCAAUCGCAAUAUGGCUAUGCCCAUAGUUCUUGGUGUGUAAAAUUUCUUUCUUAAAUAUCUGAAAAAAAAGAUAAUAAAAUAAGAUUUUAAAGGAAACAUAAACUAAUUAAGUGGAUGGAACUCUGACUCAUCCAAAGUAUUCCUCACUAGACUCCAGUUAAUUGGUAAAGCAUGUAAAUGCCAUUGUGUAUAACAAGGUUGAAAACUAAAGUAGACAAGAUUUACCUCUAAGAUUUUCAGGCAAUGCAACAAAUUUGAGACACACAGAUUUCAGCUGGAAACAAUGAUGCUGCUCUGCCAAUGCCAGCGUAUUUGCAACAGUAUUUAUAGCAACAUCCUCACAGAGAUUAGCCUCACAAAGCAACCGGAGCCUAUCUAAACCAUACCGAUCAGCAGCUGCAAGUAGAUGCUGAGCCAUCAAUGUUGAAGCCCAUUUCGAGUUCAUCCCAGUAAGUUCUUCCAUGUCAGGUAGCACAUCCCAGUAUAUAAAAUGAAGUAAGGCCUACAAGAAACAUGUAACAAGAGUAAUUAAUCAAAAAAUAAGUGUCAACUAGAUGGAAAAUUUCUUCAUCAACAAACAGUUUUAAACAGAUUGAAUCAAAUAAGACACCUUCCAAACUGACAUUUCAAGUAUUGUUAUAAGUUGAUAAAUAGCAGGAAGUAUCACUUGUUUAAAUAGGCAAUUCAUGACAUCCGUAACCUUGCAUAAACUAGGCACAUUAUUGAUGGCAAUGUAACACCAGCAGAUACACAACAAUGCUGUGUGUGCAUGUUUAACUCACUUGAAACACAAAAAUUACCGAACAGUUUUCAAGCUUCGAAGCUUAAAGUUUCAUUUUACCAGUCAUUACCCAUUAUGAUACCAAAUUUUAGCAAGAAUUGGUGCAACUGUUAUAGGUGUUAAGAAAUUUCUUGAAUUAUUUACCGAUGCCCAAUGGAGAAUUUUCAGUAGCUUAGUCAAAUAAACCCAAACUGCCGACAGAAACCAGACCCAAAAAAUCAACUAAUCUUCAAAUAUGAAGAAGAGCCUCAAAUCGGUAAAAUAACAUCAUCUUUGUGCUUGUUUGGCAAAAAAUUUGAGUUCUUAUACGCAGUGUGUUCCGAGGAAUGUAAGCUUAAAUAGUAGACAAAAGUAGUUGUUUAAAAUGAUGUUUAAUCAAUUUAUAAGCACUUAAAAGCUUUGCUAUGAAACAUACACUAAGCUGCCCAAAUCUAAUGGUAUACACCUAAAACCAGGGUCCCCAUCCAAGUACAAGCUGUCAAGCCAGAUAAAAAUCCACCUAGCCUGCCAUUUUACAUUGCUACAGAAGAUGAGUUGCUUUCUCCACUUUUUCAAUAGAAAAAUAUCGUAUCCUCAGUUAAUUGGUUUAUUGCAACACAACAGAUCAAAUACCUCUGCCAGGAUAACCUUCUUUUCUUUUAUUAAUCUGUUUUGGUUCGAUAUAGCAAGACAUACAGCUAGGGACCUUUGAACACUAUGCAGAUUGCUAUAUCCUAACAUCACUAAACUUUUCUAGUCAUUCUCAAGCACAAUACUACUAUUAUUUAGCCAUAUAUUUCUUUGAACAAUGUUUACCAGAUUUGGUUACCCUCAAAUACAUAUUAGCCUAGGCAAAAGACAGACUGCAUAAAUGAUACAAGCACAGAAAACAUCAGUUCACCCAAAGGCUGAAUACUUAAUAAAGUAAAUAUCAUGAGCCACAGUAUAAUAUAACAAAGAUACAAAAAAAAAAAUAAAUAAAUAAAUAAAUAAAUUUCCAGCAAAUAGUAUAAAUAUAACUUAGCAACUGUUAUUACAGAGAGAGGGAGGAGUUGCAGAAGACCUUAAAAACAGGUGCCUCCAUAUCUUCUAUUUUUAUACACUGCGUAUUUUGAUCCUUCAUGGGACCAUAUAAUUGAGCUCUAAAUACUGGUGAACGAGCAGCAAGUACCAAUUUGUGAGCCGAAAAAAUUUCUCCAUCAACUUCAAAAUUUACAUCAGUUCCUUUUCCACUCUCCAGCAGCUGCCCGAAAUGCUGACCAAUGUCAGAUGGUGGUAUUGGUAUAGCGUAGAUCUUAGGUCCCUCUGUGUUAGACCUAACAACACCAACACAGCAAUGUACUUGAAGGCAAUCAUCCUUCAGGUAGUGCGAUCCUUCCAAAGUAGAUCUUUUGAAAAACCGCUUAUAUCCCCUGCAGUAUCGGAAAUUACAGCAUGUACAUUGUGCCAAUACUUUCGCCUUAAAAGUUCACUGAUAUUGCACGCUUAAGGACGUGAAUACGAAGAGCAUAACUCCAGAAAAAUAAGUUCAAAGAAAAUUUACACAAAAACUAGAAUCCGACACAAACUCUACCAUUAAGCCCAUAACUCACACAGAAACAUUGCUCAAGAGAGAAAAUAUGUAAAUAACCAAAGCAAAGUAAAAUAACAUGUAUAUCGUUUACACAAUAGCUACUCAUCUUUUGUCAUGUCCAUAAAAGGGUAGUCUACAAACUCAGUCAUGUAUCAUCUUCAAGGAAAUAUGGAACAUAUCUGCAACACAUCAAAUCACAAUUUGGGUACCAACUGUUUUACAUUGUUUCUGAAGUAACAUGAACAGCAUUUAAAAAUAAACCUAUUCAGAAUUUUUUAUCGUUUUCCUUUCCUUUACCUUAAUCCCCUACCAACAUCAGUGAUAUGCGUGCAUUCCAUGUAGAAACUGGAUGUCUGGCUACUUAAUAAUUAACCAAUCUCGAAAAGACAUUCCUAUUUUGUGUAUGUCUCUACAACUUAGGUAGUGAAAAUACGUUAUAAGACGUUUAAGACAAAAAAGAAUGAAAGAUUUUCUUUUUUGAGAUAGUAAUAAGUAUCUAAUGAAUUCAAGGGAUCCGGAAUAAAAGAAAGAAAAAGGAUAUUAGUUCUUAACCAAUCUUGCGGAAAGAUACCGUGAACCAAACAAAGCUAUUCAAGAUGGACUCCAAGACAAUAUAUAUCAAAUUCAUUAGCAGAACGUCUUAACCACCAAAAAAUAGUUAAGAGGAAAAAAUGGUAAUCAGUGACAGCACAUUCCAAUAUUGACCAUCCAGUCAAUUCAUUUCCUUUAAUAAACUAUUCCAGAAUUUGUAUAGUAUAUAAGUUAUAAAACAUUGUCGUUUAUCUAUUUGUAUCAAAAUUAAAGAAAAAUCGAAAAUGUACACAAAAUUAGCUGAAGUUGAAGAGAUUAGGCACAAGUUAAACAACUACUUUAACCGAAGUAUCAGAUACAAAUAUUACAUACAUCAAUAAAAAGACUAAAUCCAGGUGCAAAUUCAAGGCAAGAGGCGACAGAAUAAUUGACAACUCACCACAUGCUGCCUCUGUAUUUAAGAGUAUACGGCCCACUCUCCAGCGCCCUACCAAAAUGGCUAUGCACCUUAUGCCUCUCACCCCCACUUUGAUCCAUAAGCGUUAACUCGAAAAGAGCCCUCACGUCCGUGCCCUCACUCGCUAGGGCAAUAAAAAGCGAGACAUACGUUGCGUUGUCCUCCACACUCUUCCCGUCAGGAUAAAAAUAGAUCGCCCACGAGUACCCACCGACCAUAAAAGUGUCCGACGCUAUAUACUUCCCGAUCCCAAUUCCUUUGGACAAUGAAUAACCCGUAAUCUUGAAAUCGUGAGACCCAUUCACCGUCUCCGUUAUAGACGUCGACGUCGUCACUGCGGGAGCCGACGGAGAUGCCGUCGACGACGAGGGUUUGGCGGUCUCCUUAUAAAUCCUUCCCAUGCCCACCAUGCACACAAUAAUUCUAACAAAAUCUCACCCAGUUAGUCAAAAUUACACGACGGAUAUAACUUAACUUAAUUGAAUUCAAUUCCGUUACACAAAAAUGCAAAAGAAAAGGAUCGAUUCAAUUUUUAAAAAUUUAGGGGAAAUUUUUUUGAACGGCGAUCAGAUCUGGCGAGAUACGAAGGAAUUGGACUCGAGGGGACUGAGAAAUGGAUUAGGGGUUUGAUUAAGGUGCGAAAAUCUAGGUUUUCUGUUUGAAUUGAACGAAAAAUCUGCAAAAUCUGAGUUUCUAUCGUCUCGGAUGAUAUGACGAAAAUAGGAGCUCUUUUAGAGAGAGGAUAUACUUAUAUAGAGAGAGAAUGAGAAAAUGAGGAGACAGAAUAAUCGCUGCUAGUGAAAAUCGCAAUUUAUAAUACCAUAUGGCAAAAAUUACUUGCUUGGGUUUUGUUAGCCUACACACGGGUGUAUACAUUCUGAUUCCACGGCUCAGGAUGCCGUGCAAGUAUUGCGCUUUUGAAAGCAUUUUCAAAAACUCUUUAAAUAAAAAGAUUCUCUACUUUAGAAAAUCAAUAUUUAAGCCCCAUUAGGUACUAUUUUUUUUCAAAAUAUAUUUUUUACUCACUUCUUUUCAGACAUACAUUCUUUAUUAAAAUAAUAUUACACAUAAAUCAAGAUCUUUUCUUUAUUUUUCAACCACAUAUUUCUCAUCAAUUUACGAUUCUAAAAUAUAUUUUUACGUAAAAAUGUGGCUCAAAUACCAUCUUAAAAAUGAACUCUAAAAGACUUUGUAUUUUAACUUUUUAACAUAAAGAAUGUUUGACUCUCCAAAUUUAAAGAGUCAAACUCACUCCCUAUUUUUAAUGUACAAUGAAUAUAACAAAUUUUAAUACUCUAUAAUUUAAUAUUUUCAAAUUACGUUUGAAUUGAUUGGUCAUUAAUAUAUAAAAAAUUAUACUUGAAUAAAAUAUGUGGAGAAAUAUUAAAUGUUCAUUAGAAAAAACAAAAUAAAAAAUCAAAGUAGAAAGCUUGUUGAAGUGCAUGAAAAAAAUUACUCUCUAAAUUUAAAUAUUCUCUUUGUCAUGCAUAAAAUACUAUUUAUAAAUAGAGAGUCUUUCGAGAUGUGCUUUAAUUUUAUUUAUUAUGGUGUGAGUGAAAUGUGGGCCCUGUAAGUUGUGGUUGUAAUUUGCGCGCCACUGUGUGAACAACAAACUGAUUCACGCGCUUUAUUUGGGAUGCGAUCUAAAUCUUGAAUUUGGGCCAUCUUCAAUGUGACCAUUACACCAGAAUUUAUUAAACAUUAUAUUUAAUGAACUAAAAUAUUACAUAAAUUAAUAAUUAAAAAAAUUAACAUAGAGAGCUUGUUUGGGAGUGAUUUUGAAAAUUGAUUUUUUGAUCGUUAGGAAAAAAGUGGGGUCCACCUAUGAGAGAAGAAGUUAAAUAUGACGGUUGAAAUAGUGAAAUAACGGUCAAAAAAUCAACAGGCCGAGAAUAUUAAAGAGAUAUAAAGUCAAAUAUAGUGAUUUAAUGUAAUAGAAUAUUUUUCAUUUUGAGAGGUAAAUAAUAGAAAAGAAACCAAGGCUAUAAUUAAGAAAAGGCUCGAUAGCAAAAAACUAACCUACAUGUUUGAUGAUGUGCAGAAUGCCCCAUACCUACAGGAAAUAACAAAAAAUGCCCCGGUUCGAAACCUUUUUUGCGGAAUACAACAUUUUAGGUACAAAACCCCUCUACAAUCCAAUUCUAUUGGUUUAACAGUAAAAAGGAGUAAAAAUUGUCAAAUUUAAAAAGGAAUACUUGCAGUUACGCUCCCAAACUUUUUAUUUUUUACAAAUUAUUCCUAAAUUUUUUAUAAGUACUAACCACAAUCCCAAAUCUUUAAAACUUUAUACUCUUCCCCAAUUUUAAAGAAUAAAAUAGAGAAAUUGAGGCUGGAGCCAUUCGGCCAAUUUGGGUUUGAAGGAGAGUACUGAAAUGUAGGCAUGAUCUGCCAUAUUGAACUACGAUUAAACCCAAAAUAAGGCAAUGCGUAGUUUAAGGGGUGGGGUAGGAUUUGAGGGGCUGGGCUGAGGGGGAAUUUUGUUUUUUGUUUUUUAUUUUAACUAUUUUGUAUGAAAAUAUAAAUUUACCAUUUUAUCCUUUAAAAUUGGGGGUUGGAAUUGUAGUUGACACGUAUAAAAAUUUUGAGUAAAAUUUGUAAAAAAAUAAAAAAUUUGGGAGUGCAAUCGCAAUUAUUCCUUUUUCAUUUUGACAAUUUUUACUGUUUUUAACAAUUAAACUAAUAGAAUUGAUUGGUGUAGAGAUUUUUCGUACCCAAAAGAUUGUAUUCAGCACAUAAUUUUUAAUAUGUGGACCUUUUCUACGAUUUCAAAUAGGUAAGAGGUAUUCCACACAUCAUCAAGUAUGUAUGGGAUUUUUUGCUGUUGAGCAUUAAAAAAUUACGUGAACAAUUUUAAUUGAUUGUACCGACAAUUAUUACUUAUUACUUGAUUAGAAUUCAAUUUAAUUGCAGAUUAUAUUAUUACUAAAAUCAUUAAAUUAAAAUUUAUAUUUUAAUGAACUAAAAUAGCACAUAAAUUAAAAAAAUAAACAAAAUGCUAUAAUUUUAAAAAAAAAAUACAUGAACAAUUUUAAUUUAUUGUAUCAAUAAUUAUUACUUAUUAUUUGAUUAUAAUUUAAAAAUAAAUUUUAAAUAAAAGUAGCAAUCAUUCUAAAACAAUACAAAUAAAUUAAAUUGAAUUAAUUAUAAAGAUAAAAAAGGAUAUAGAUGGAAUAAAAAUUAUUUAUAAAGGGAAAGAGGGAACAAAAUGGGGAAUAUUUUAAAACUUCAAUUUUGUCAAUUUGGUCUAAAUAAAUAGUGUUAUUCCCAAUUAUAUUUUCUUUUAUUUUUCUAUAGUAAUUUGAAAAUUAUGCAAGUGGUCUUGAACAUAAAAAAAGUUGAGCUAUUGUAGUCGUAACCUAUUUAAUUAAAUUAUAUGUCACAACAUUUUAUUAGAUUUCACUAAAAUGUGACCACCUGAUUUUUGAAUUUUUUCCACAAUUUUAUUGAAAAUAUUUGUUGUUAUAAUUUUUCCCUAUUUAUUUUCCUUUUGUCCCGAGCCCUUGGUCCCUUGGUCCAUCUAUUUAAUUUACACUCAUUUUGUUUUAAAACAUCAAGUACUCUAUUUGUAUUUAGAUUUAAUUUUUUUAAUCUAAGAUAAAAUGCUAUGAAUUAAUUUACUUAAUCAAAAAUUAAGGGGCCAUUCAACCAUUAAUAUAUAUAAUAAAUGAUUUUUGUCAUAAUUUUUAAAUCGUUGAUUUACUAAAUAUAAACUACAUUGUGUGUGUAUAUAUAUACACCGCAUGUAAGAAAUUAAAACCCUAAUACCAAGAUUUUUAGAAUUCAUGAUUUUCACAUAUAAAUUUAAUUGAUCAAGAAACAUACUUGAAUCCAUAACAAUACUUGAAUGAUUUAAAUCUGUAAAAGAGAAACUAGUAAGUAAAUAAAUUGUUCUCUUUAUUUACCUCUCCGUAAUUGAAUGUCAUUAAUUGAUGGAAUGAAUUCACGUUUAUAGGUAGAGGCAAUUUUUUUAUGAGCAUUAAAACUAUCAACUUUUCCAUCAACGUGUAUAGUUAGGAAACUAUCAUUUCUCAACUGGUUAAUAGGAUUUUAGCAAUAAUAUAUCACUUUAAUUAAUUUAUAAUAAUAUUACAUGGGUCACAGUUAUUUGGUCUUACAUUCUCCCAUGUGGCCCGUGUAAUAUUAUUUGGUUGUGUGGUCUAUAAUAUAAUGCGCAUGUUAUAAGCUAAAAUCCUUCUUACUUCGGUUACUUAAUAUAUCAUCAUUAAGUAGUGACUAAGAAGAGUCAUGGCGGUUGUACAUCAUCAUUUCGGCAUAAUUCCUUUCGUGUGCUACGAUAUUGGUUCUCAAUGAGCAUGAUAUGUAAUGAGAAGUUCAAUAAUUACAUUCUAGUAAUGUAUCCAAAAAAAAAAAACUAUUCGUUUUAGUAUUCACACAAUCUAUUCAUGUACAUAUACCAACAAUUACGACAAGAAUAAUAUUUUGUCAAAAACAAUACAUUAACAAGUUCAAAGUGCCAAAUAUAUAAAUAUCAUAAAUUACAUAAUGUCGUUAUCAUUUUCAAUAAUACCCAUUCUUUCGACAUGUUCAUUAAAUAUCUUUGCUGACAAUCCUUUUGUUAGAGAAUCUGCAAUCAUAACAAUGAUGCUAAUAUGUUCGAUUGACACUUUUUGUUUUCGAACUUCUUCUUUAAUGGUAAAGUACUUCAAUUUCAUAUUUUUUUAGCACAUUUAGAAUACCCGUCAUUCUUUGAAAAGAAUAAUGUUGCAGAAUUAUCACAAUAAAGUUUUAAUAGCUUGACAGUACUAUCGACAAUUUCAAACCCUGAAAUAAAGUUUUGUAGCCAAUUUUUUUGAAUUGUGGCAUCAAGGUAUGCCACAAAUGCAACUUCCAUAAUGGAUGCAAUAGUGACUAACUACUUCUCACUUUUCCAUGAUAUAGCUCCUUCAGCCAAGAGGAACAAGUGGCCCAAUUAGACUUUUUAGCAUCCACAUAUCCAACAAAGUCUGAAUCUAAAUACCUAAUGAGCUCCAAAUUAUCAGAUUUCUUCUAAAUAUAACUGAGCAAUAGUCUUACAAGUUUAGUUGUCAAAACUCAACCACCAUAAAAUUGGACCAUUCAACCAUUAAUAUAUAUAUAUAUAUAUAAUAAAUGAUGUUGUAAUGAUGCUUAAAUCAUUGAUUUACUAAGUGUGUGUUUGAGUCACAAGAAUGCGGCUCAAACGGGGCCUAAAUAUAAACUACAUUGUGUGUGUGUGUGUGUGUGUGUGUGUGUCUAUUUAUUUGAAGAUAGUAUGUCCCUCUUUGGUUUCGAUAAAUAUUAGAUUUUUAGUAAAUUUUGAUAAAUAUCGAUGAAAUGUGUAGUUAAAAAAUUGUGGAUCUAAUUAAAUAUGUGAUAAAAAUGAAUUUCAAAAAAAUGAAUAAGAAAAGAUUUGUUAAAGAGAUAAGUUGAAAAUCAAAAACCAUUCACACCUCUACUAUCACAAUCUAAACAUACAUCCCACAAAAUGAUGUUUGCAUCCAAAAAUGGCUUGGUAUUUAGAGUUAAUCGUAGCUUCGAGUUGAUUAAGCCCAUGUUUGACUCUCAUUUUCUAUUUUUUCUUAAAUUUAUUUAUUCAUUUUUACUCAGGUAUCCGAGUUUCGCCCAACUAAUCUUGAGGAGUGGCGGCCUUCCUCCCUGAUUCGCCACCCGAGUUUCUUAAGUUUAUUUUUAAUAGUACAUUUUCUAGGUUCUACAACUUUUAUCAAUUUUCUAACUACAUAUUUUAUCGACUUUUAUCGAAAUUACUAAAAAUAUGAUUUUUAACUAAACUAAACAAGGACUAAAUAUCUAUAAACAAAAUUUCUCAUAACGAUAUGAAAACAAUAAUAAUUAAGAUGAAGCAUUUAUAUACAAUGAAUGAGAUUCAAAAAAAAAAAAAUGAAAAGAAAAGAAAUAAGCAAAUUUAGUGUUACUAUCUAAUAUUUAUUUUUUUCCCUCUUCAUCUUUUACUUUUUCCCUCUUCUUUUCUCUGCAGAAUUCUAAAUCAAAAUAUCUUUCCUCUCCCAAUUGCAUGUUUGGUACACACACUUCAACAGCAAAAUUUAACUUUUUUUCUUCUUUCGUAUAGUUUAUUACUAUUCAAUCCUAUGUACCUGUUUUGCGCGGGUAGUCGCUAACAAUUAAAAAGGGUCAGACGAUUGUGUAAGGAACAAACCACUUGAGACAAAGUCCCAAAAAAGGGUGUUUUAUUGGCGAUUAUUUACAAUUGGAAAUAAACAGAAUGCCUCCAAGGGGCGCAGGCACACGAAUACUAAAAGAAGUGUUUAAGUUUAAACUAAGAAAUCGAAAUUACAUAUUCUCUAUUUGAGAGUGUUUGAUUCUUUUUUUUUCUCUAUGUCUUCUCUUCCUUUUAUAUUCCCUUGAUGAUUUCUUCGUGACAAACCGCUUGAAAAUUGUUUGAUUGUUGUAUAACUACCCAUUUUCUUUAUGGUAGCUAAUUUGUGGUGGAACUGCCGUUACUAAAUGUUGCCAUUACUCUUUGUCGUUCAACCGCCUUCAACUGAGCUCCUUGACUCGUGGAAUGUGAUAAGAUCACUCAAUAACUGCUUCAAUAACUGCUAUUCUAGAUAACCAUAAUGUUUUAUGCUCGCUAAGAUCCUGGGCGAUUCGAAGGUUUGGGCGAGAACGAGGUUAUCGCUCUGGGCGACCGUAAGGUACUCCAUUCACUCAGAUUCUGGGCGUCUUGCAAGUUUGGGCGAUCAUAUUACCGUGCUCGUAGGCUUCCACCGUAUUCAUCAAUAAUCCUAUUUGGACCUUUAUCCUGGAUUCCCCAAUUAGGCUAUUUGAUUUGGGCUGCACUUUUAGUAUGUCAACAAUUACCCCCCAAUAUGGCAGAAUUAAUACCAAUUAUUAAUUUUUGCCAUAUUCACUUUAUAUUUUCCAGCAAUAUUUGAAAUUUCCAAGAAUUUCAAUCAUUAUUUCUUUCUACAGCUUGAAAAGGUGCAACGUUACAAACCCUUAUAAACCCAAAAGACACGCCAUUUCAUUGCACCACUAAACCACGUCUCUAUAUUUUUUGCUUCCUCCUCGCUAUUUUACUGUUCAUCUUCUUGCUUCUCUGCUACGUUUCUCAGGCAAACCUUAACGAAACUGUAGUUUGUUCCCAACGACGACUUCACAAACUCAAUCUAAUGAUUCUUUUAGUUUCGAAGAUUUUCAGAAAAUCCUUACUAGGCCGUAUGUAAAUCCAAACUUCCUUACACAAGCUAAUGCUGACCUCAAUGAAUUCUAUCUGGAUCCAUCGUUCAAUAAUGCCGAAUCGUUGGACAAGUGGCGGUGGGCCAGCUGUUCCCUUGCACUCAAGGUCCUCUGUUCUUGAAUUCUCUGCCAUUGAGGUCGAUUCGCGAAAGAGGUAUUUGCACUUGGCCCAAAGCUGAUGUUAUUUUUUGUAGAUGGCAUGCACGUCUUGUGAAUCAUAGCCCUACCAAGGCGAUUUUUUAUCGUACUAGUAUUUCAGACUUAUUAGAAAUCACUCUUCAACCCCCAAUUUUCGACCCAGUGCUUUUUCCUAUUGCUUUGAGUUUUUGGUCUUCUGAAUAUAACACCUUCGUUUUCCCUCUUGGUCCCAUGUCUAUUACUUUAAGGAACGUUGGAGCCCUAGUAAAUCUUCCGCCUUUGGGCGACACCAUCUUUCUUGGUAUCUUGAUUUCCAGCGUUGCCCCAAAAUUUGACAAGAAACUUACUGAGUCCUAUUCAAGCCUGCAAGGCUUUUAUAAUCACUCAAGCGCUGAACCUUCCCAUGCUGAGCGUGUGGCCUUUCUUCAGAUUUGGCUCUGUAAAUAUAUUAUCUUUGUGCCAAGUAUGAAACCUUCUAUGAGCUACUUAUCCAUAGCGCAUGAAUUGGCGCGUGGUAGGCCUUUGAACUUAUGUUCUUUCUUUUUAGCUGCCCUUUAUAGAGGUAUGGCUUCCCUUCAAUUUCAACUGAAGAAUGGUGCAUCUCCCACUGGCAGUGGGCCCCUUUGGUUCACUCAACUGUGGUUGAGAGCAUACUUUCCACCACUUGGUGCUCCAUCCAUUUCCCUUCAUUCUGCUAGCUGCUAUGAGCUAGCCAUUAAUCCAUUGAACCCUGUAAAUAUAUUCAGUAGGGACAUUUUUUCAUUCUUUUAUACCUUAAAUUUGAUUCCUUCCUUCUUUCCUUUUCCUGCUCACUUGACUCCAGAUUAUGUGCAACCUCCAUCGACCCUAGACAGUGCGAGUGUUUCUCUGCUUGUUUGGGUUCAGUUUUUGAUUGGGAGGGAAUUGUUCCACGAUAUCUUAACUGGAACCAAUGCCAAAGUUGGGGUUGAAAUAUAUGCUCCCCAAUUUUUUGCUCGCCAACUUGGUUUUGGCCAAACUUGGCCUGUUCCUCCUUGCUACUCCAAAAAUUUGACAGACAACUUUCACACUAUUAAUAAGGCAGAGACACAAACUAUAGAUGCUUGUAACAUUCUUUUGACGAGCAAAUUUUCAUUAGCCCCUUUUAAUUUUAGCUGUGCCAUCCAUCCUCUUUUUGAACAGUUUUGGCCAUCAGUAAAACGCCGAUUGUUUGCAACUGAUGCUAAUCGUGCCUUCCAUUUACUGAACUAGCCAGGAACUCACUACUUCUCCUAUUUUGGUCACCCCUGUGUCCAUUAGGAAUCCUUCCUCCCCUGCUCGUGCUAAACAUUAUAUCCAUCCAUUUGCUUUUCUACCUACCAAGGCUAUUGCAGCUAAAGGUGCCUUAAGCCGCAACGGCCAACUUCAGCAUCUCCCAUUUUGCAGGAUGAUAAUGAUGAUGAUGAUGAUGACGACGCUCCUCUCAUCCUUAGGAGAAAGGUAAUUGAAUUUGUUUAUUCACUAACAUACUUUUCUAUAUACUAAUGGCUUACCUGAAUUUCUCAUAAAAGUUCAGUCUCUCCUUCGAAAGCUUUGGUUUUGGCAGCUCCUGCUCCAUCAUCUUCUGCUGAAGCUGCUUUGUCCAAAUCAGCUGAUGAAGGGAUUAUGCAUCAAGAGAAACCCUUAGUCCCAGAACCUUCAUCACAACCAGUAGAAGGGCCACCUUCUUCCCAAGGCGUUGACCCUCCAAAUGUCGAACCAGAAGGUAAUACAUAUUUUGAUGUUUUACCUUUACUUAUGCUACUGGUUUCUGAUUCGUUGCUUCUUAAAUUAUGCAGAGGCUCCCAUGGGCUUGCCCGUUGUGGUAGAGUCUUCUCGCCCAGAUAAGAGGAAGUCCCCACAGGUGGUGGAGUCAACUGGUGAUAUGCCUGAACUUCCCAAGAUUACUGAUGAGGUAACAUUUUGCUUCACUUUCAUUUUCGGUUCGUUUAUUCUAGUGAAAGUCCUCAAUGCUGGCAUUUUUCUUUAUAGGAUGCUGAUGACAUUGUGCGUUCUAUCCAGAACUUGUUUACUUCCUGGGGGCAAGUCAAGACGCCUUGCCCUACUUCAACCAGUCAUCCUUCUGCUUCUUCAGAGGAAAAUAUGAAGUUUCUCAAGUAGUCGGUAUUUGAGUAUGUGUCUUUUAUGGACAUGGAUAUCAGCCAGGCUAGUGCUACUAAACAUAAGGAUAAGAUUGAGCUAUUGAGUGCGAAGUUGGCGCAAGCACUUACACUUCCGCCGCUCAAUGUUUCUGCUGACUUUAAAGUGACGUUGAAGGUUGUUCACUCUGACAUCCUCUCCUUGCUAGCCAAAAAUGUUGAAUUGAAGGCCAGGAGUACUCAAUAUCUUCGUACUGCAUUUGAAAGAGAGUCUUUGCUUCUAGAGAUUAACAAAGCCGAGGACGAAUUAAAAGAAAUCUCUUCCGACGUUAUGAUCGAAGACUCUUUGAUGACAAGUUUGGGCAUAGAGAUGAAGGAGUUUCAAGCAAAGAUGGACGACUGUAGGGCAAGAAUGGCUGCCAAAAAUUGUAAUGCCUCCUAAAGAAUUGAACGAACCAAGUCUUUGGUUGAGCAGUACAAAAAGCUGGAGGUUGAUGACGAAUUUGUGGCUGAAUUAAAUGUCACUUCUUCUCAACAGAGCGAAGAUUGGGGAAGACUUAGGGAAAGAAUUCGUUCGACCUGGGGUGAAUUGUAAUUAAAACAUCCAAUGCCUUAACUUUUCUUUUGUAACUUCGUACUAACUUUCCUUUUGUAACUUCGCACUAAUUGUCACUGCUAAUUUUGAAUGUAACAUCAGUUAUCGUCAUUAAUGAACGAUUAAUUUGUCUACUUGCGUAUUAAUUGACGUUGUUCUUAAUCGUCAAACUCCCAAGCAUUUAAUUGCUUUAUGCUAAGAUUCAUGUGUAUUCUUCCUUGAUAUUUCCAUCUCUUUUCCCAAGAUUUUGGGCCAUUUGAUUUCCGUUAUUAGGCACGAAUGUGACCAUUCAUAUUCUGUAUUUUCACUUUCACGCCUCUAUAAAUGCGUCUGUAUUUUGCACUCAUCAUUUUCAUUUCCAUUCUUUCCUUCAAAAACUAAUUUGCUGCCAUCGUUUGGUAUCUCAACAAUUGAUCCAAAAUUUUCGUCUUCCAUAGAAAUAGAUCAUUUGAUCCGUCCAUUUUGCUAUCUGUUUUGAUGUCACCUUUGGUAUGGGAGAUAUAGGAAAUAUUCUUUGGCCAGCGAAGUUCUUUCCAUCGUCUCCAUGUUCUUUAUAAGGAGUUCAAUGAUGGAAGGCAAUUUUUGAGGAUGUUUUUCAAACUACUUUGCUUGCUGAGAGUGCUUCUCAGUCUCCUUGCUCGUUAUUGCAGCAAUGCGAUUAUGCAGGUGAUUUGAGGGUGCUUUUCUUCCUUUUUGCUUGUUGAGAAUGCUUCUCAGCCUCUCUGCCUGCCCUUGCAGCAGUGCGAUCAGGAUAGCGACCAAGGUCGAUUCACCCUCUUGCUUGGCGAUCGACCGAGAAAUUAGUUUGCUCUCAAUUGUAGCUUAUAGAGCAUUUAGUAUUUUGUAUCUCACAAUUUGUAAUAAAUAUUUGAUAAUAAAGAAAUUUAUUUGAACGUAUUUCGUUCUGAUCUUAUUUAUCUGCGAUCGUUCAACGCAAUUUAAUUACGCUUUUAUUUGUUCAUUCUCCCAUAAGGAAGGAACACACUUUUUUAAAUAUUUGCCAUUAAUGAACCUCAUGUGCUUGGUGCCAUCUAAAUCUUCUAAAUGAUAGGCUUCAUUCGGCAACACACUAUUUACUUUAUAUGGCCCUUCCCAAUUGGGCGACCACUUGCCAUACUUUGGAUCCUUACUAUCCAAAGGGAGUAUUGUUUUCCAAACCAAUUCGUCCAGACUAAAUGACUUGGCUAUAAAUUUUUUAUUAUAAAACUUAGCCAUCCUUCAUUUUUGAACUUGCAAUCUAUCCAGGACGUCCAACUUUAAUUCGUCCAACUCCAAUAAGUUUUGAACUAGUGAUUUGGUAUACUCACCAUCACUUAACUUAUGUUGCAAACACACUCUGAUUGAUCGCACAUUGAUUUCCAUAGGCAAAACGGCCUCCUGUCCAUAAGUAAGUUGGAAAUGAGUAACUUUGGUACUUGACCGAGGCGACGUCCUAUAAGCCCAUAAGGCUAUGUUUAGACAUUCGUGCCAAUUUCUGACAUUUUCAUCUAUCAUUUUCCUUAUGAUAUUUUUUAGAAUCUUAUUAGAAGAUUCUGCUUGUCCGUUAGAUUGAGCGUAAUAUGGUGUGGAGUUCGCUAAUUUAAUUCCAAACUCGCUCAAGAAUUUAUUCACUUGNNNNNNNNNNNNNNNNNNNNNNNNNNNNNNNNNNNNNNNNNNNNNNNNNNNNNNNNNNNNNNNNNNNNNNNNNNNNNNNNNNNNNNNNNNNNNNNNNNNNNNNNNNNGGCAUGCUAGACAACUCUUCGCAUAUUGAACACAUGAUUCUCCCAUCUUGGGCCAAAAAUAUCUAUUCCUAAUAAUUAACCAUCUCAUCUUUUGUCCAGUUUGAUGAGCUUCACAUAUCACUUCAUGCACUU
rnacentral:lncRNA from 1 species